GAAUUAAUGUCCUUUUUCGUAAUGUAAUCAUUAAUCUUGCUGUGUUCCAUCAGUCUAUUGCUUUGAUGUUUUGGAGAUUUAUUGAGACCGUGAAGCACUUCUUUUCGUAUUGGUUUCAAGCUACAAUUGAUUUAUUUAUUUAUUUGCUGCAUGCUACUUUGAUUUAGUCAAGCUAAAUUUGUCAAAUUAGAGGGUUUGAAGCCAAUGGCUUUAAAGAUUUGGGACAUGUCAUUCAACUCUUUGAUUGCAUAAUUUUGAUGAAUAGGACUAUGGCUAGUUAUUUUGACGACGAUAAUGCUGGAAAGCUUGAAUUUUCCCCCUUUUUUUGGGUGGGGGCUGAUUUUUGACAAAUUAGCGUCGCGUAUAGACAACCCAUGUCCAUGAAUGAUGCUUUCUCGACUAUUUGGUCUGACAUUGGAUACUCUGUUUAUGAGUAUCACGUCAAAGAAUACCUGCUUAGUUGGUCAUACACUGUUGAUGAUAAAGACUGCAUCUUUUGCGGGAUUUAACAUAUACUAGAUAUUUCAUCGUCUUUAAACAAAAUUUAGUGAUAUUUUAUUGUGCAUGUGUUGUAAUUCUUAUAGAGUUUUUGGUUUCAGGUCAUGGGAAGGAGUGGCUCAACUUCUGAACUCAUUGAAUGUAUCCAGGGGCAUUCUGCUAGAAGCCAGGUCUGGGAUAAAGGAACUCCAGGUUGGUUUGUGCUAAAAUUCUGUUAUAACUUUUCUUCCUUUUCCUAGUUCCUGGCUUUUGAUUGUGCAACAAGGAACCUUUUGCUUGACUUAUUGUUCUUCUGUGCCCAAAACAAGAUACGCAAAUCCUUGCUGUUCCUAACACGACUUCUAACAUCACAAUUUGUGUUAGAGGUUUAUUAAACACUAUAAAUGACCUUGCGUCCUUUGCAUUCAUUCAGGUUAAUGGAAGUUUUUUACUUACUUUAAACCUAAUCUAUUUAGCAGCAUCUUGAAUUUGGAUGAGAAUAUGAUUUCAUUUUGAGCUGCUCCAAAAUUAUGAUAGUGCUGCUUAAAACUACUUGGAGGACUAGGUUCAAACUUUUUUCUUCUGCUCUCAACUUUCUUUUUAAAGGAGACAUUGUUGAUUGCAAAUUCAGAAUUUUGAUAUCUCUUGUAAUUUUUGUUUCAGUUGCCCGACAAGGAUAUUUUCUUUAUUGUGCAGAGAGAUAUUAGAUUUUUUGCGUACUUUUGUUUUGGAUAAAACAUUCCUUGCAUUUAAGUGCUACUGUGGAGAUGUGAAUCAAAACUCAUAUCUAAUUACUGAAAUCAUCUUGUGGGAUUAAUCAUUAGACUCCAUCAAUUUCAAGUAUAGGUUUCCUCUGCCCCCAGAACUGCUGUGUGUGAAUGAGAAAUCUCGAUGUUUGGACAUCUAAUUUUCUUAAUUGAGGACAAAAACCUGAUCUUUAUGAGGCUGUUCAUGCCUCAAAUCCCUAUGUUUAUGCAGAGAAUCUGGCUAAGAACAAUAAGGAUGAAAGCCAUUGCAUGUCCAACAAGAAAAGGAGCUCAAUAUUUCAAGAAAGAGCAGAACCAUGCCCUUUAAGUUCAUCUUUGUACUAUGGUGGUCAAGAAGAUAUGUAUGUGCAGUCUUCAAAUGCUCAGUCACUGGGCUCAUACCAUGGCGUAAGUUUUUUCACUGCAACCAUCAUCAUGUUUAUGAUUACAUGGCUUGGAUGUAAUUGAACUAGCUUUUGAUGAAAUUAUAGAUAAAUCAGUUUAAGAAACAUUGGGAAGAGGAUGACCAAAACGGGAACGACUCUCAUUCUGCUUCUAGAGGGAAUUGGUGGCAAGGUACGAUUAUGCAUGUUGUAUGAGUUUCUCUGGGUAGAGGUUCAGACAGGUCUAAGUACCAUUCGAACAAUGUUUAUGCAGGGUCACUUUAUUAUUAGGACUGCCUUUCAAGCCCCCAGGCUUAUGAAUUCUUCAGUUAUUUAUUAGAGGUAAGCACCACCCCAUUGAUCGUAGUUUGAUUUUUGAAAAAUAACAAAUAAUUUUUUUUCUCCAACGCCACUUUCGUUGCCAAUAUAUAAUACAAUAUUUGAGCUUUUAAAAUUCAUUGAAAUUGAAGGUUAUGCUCCUCAAGAGUUGGGCUAAUUUCUUAGAAUAUUUGUAUUUAAAAAAAACAACCGCCAAAUGCACCUCUGACAUGGGGUGUUUCUCAUUCUAUGGCAUAAUUAAAUAUUCCACCGGAAUCUUGUCUGCAAAAAAUUCGGUGGUGCAGAGGAUGUCAAUGCGGACGUGCUGACUGGGCACGUCCGCAGCUGAAAAAGCUGUCUGAGCAUGUGUCAGCCGCAGACAUGCUGACUGUGCACGUCCGCGGCUGACCAAAGUGACUCACCUCUGCGCAUGUGUCAGACGGAUGCAAAUGCUAUGAAACUGCGAUCAAUAUCAAUGCAAAUGAUGUAAGCAUUUCGAAGAAUGCUCCAGACACUUCAUCCUUCCUUUCUUUCUUUUUUUGUUCUUAAUAAAAUGACAACAAAAAAGCUGCAAAAUAUUUUUGGAGACAAAAAAGUGCCCAUCUAUGUAUUUAAUGGUAGUAAAUUUCUUUAUUUUAUCACUUAAUUUUUCCUACUCUUAAAUUAGUCUUGGAUUAUAAUGCAACUAGUGAUAGAAGAGAAUCUUAACAACCACAUGAUCAAUUGUUUAGUAGUUCUUCAGUAAAGUACUAAACUUUAUUAUUAUUAUUAUUUUUUUUUUUUGAAAUUGUGUAUUACUUUAGGAUUUAUUAAACAAUGUUAGAGUUUUUUUUUAAAUUAAAAAAAGGUUUCUACAAAAGUAACACAAAGUUAUCGUUAAAAAUGCAUUAUAAUACAGAUAAAUUAUUUUUUUUCUCAAAUGGUCCAAAUACACUCUAAAACUUACCAUGGGCAUGAAUUUUUGUCAUUCCCAUUACUAUUUUGUUUGCAGUCAUAACGGAUUUUAUUUUAUGAUGAAAAUCUAAUACUUACAUUACUAUUAAAUAAUUCAUUCAAUAUUUUCCAUAAUUAUUAUAUGUAUCAUUAAUUUUAAGAGUUAAGCUUCACUCUAUUGUAAUACGACAUAUUUACGUGUCAAAAAUUAAAGAAUCAUUCGUCUGAAUCAUUCGGUGCUAAUGACAGAUUUAGUACAUACUUUCCCGAAAAGUAUAUAGAAGCCUCAUCACGGCAUUCCACUCUGAAGCAGUAAGCAUUCGUCUUAAAACUAUUUUUUUUAGCAUGUGUCAGAUGCGGACGUGCUGACUGGGCACGUCCGCAUUUGACACAACACACCAGCACUGAUUUUGUGUCUCCCGGGGACGUGCCCAGUCAGCACGUCUGCGCUGACACCUUGCACCACUGAAUUUUUGCAAACAAGAGUUCGGUAGAAUAUUUAAUUAUGCAGCCGUGCUGAGUCAGCACGGCCGCUAUAGAAUGAGAAACACCCAUGUCAGAGGUGUAUUUGACGGUUGUUUUUUUUAAAUACAAAUAUUCUAAGGAAUUAGCCCAAGAGUUGGAGACCUUUGGUCUGCUCAGUCAUCUAUGUGAUUUUUGAGCUUCUUGAUAUAAGUGUAAAUGUAGGCUACUACUGUAAAUUGAAGUCUAUCAUUAUGUCAUUUAUACAUGAUUUCUCAUGUAAUUGUAUAUAUUUACUGUAUUUCUAUUGUUUCUACUAUAAGAGGCAUUUCUCUGAUUUGAUUAACUUAUUGUACUUGCAGGGAUUUCAGAGGCCUUGGCUGUGUAGUUUAUAUAGAUUGUCCUGUGGUAGGUAAAGGCCACUUUUUAGGCAGGAUAUUGUGGACAGAACUUGGAUAUUUUUUCAUGAGUUCUUCCUAUCAUUUGGUACAAAAACUUUCCCUAAUAUAAUUUCGUGCUUGAAAGUUUUAGGAGUUUGCAAUGGAGAAGGUUUUUCAAACUUUGUAAUCUGUUAUUGUCUCCCUAGUCUAAACUAGUAAUUACCAGACUUAACUGUUGAUUUUUGAGUGAGUAAUGCAUAAUGAUAGACCUUUUCGUGGUUUCUUUACCAUUUCUACCAAUGAUGAAGCUUGUAGUAUGUGAUGGGCCUUUACGUGAUUUUCCUUUUCUUACUCUCUUUGUAAUUCUGUUGAGAAAUAUGAGCAGGUUAAGAGUUGUUUUCUUUGAAGAUAAUGGAAAUAGUUUGAGGUCUUCGGCUGUGGAUCUCAUUGGUGGGAUACAAAAACCAGUAUAUUUUCCAGCAUAAUUGACUAUUUGAGUUAUGGAUACUCAUAAUUUAUUUUUUCUUUUUUCUCUCUGAGCAUAUUGAAAGGAAGAAUAUUUUCAAACUUAUGUCUGAAUUUUCAGCAUCUAGCACCUAUGAUGAGUUUAAUUGCUAGAUGGGGAUAAAUUAGAAAAUUAGGCUUUUGAGUUGUUUUAAAGUGUUCAUCAGCUGUUCCUCUGUUUAUUUGCAUAAGCACUUCGGAUGUUGUGGAUUCACUAAUGACCUUCUUAACGGAUGCAGUAAGUCGAAUUUUACGUGCUGCUGUAGCAGCAAUUUAAAUGUUUAUUUAUCAACGAAAAAAGCUCAGGAAGACCCAUUCUCAUUUGAAGAGUAAAAUUAUACCAUGGCAGCAAAAUAACAGUAAGCUUCACAAGUUUAGGUUGUACAAGCAGUUCUUUCAGCUUCCCAUCAUAUUGGUCUGUAAGCAUGACAUGCAGCCUGAUCAUACCUUGUGAUUGCCAUUAACAUGAUUCCUGUUUCCUCUCCUUGUUUAUGUUCUCUCCUAGAAAAGACACAAAACAUGUACAGAUAUCACCCAACAUACUCUGCUUGAAGAAGCAUAGCAAAUUAUGCUGUGGUAAUGGUAGGAUACUUGGUUAUAAAAGAACUCUCUAAAUUGAAUUGGUAACAGUCUAGAAGUUUUCUUGCUGCAACAAGUACCGUAACAUACAUUGCUCGUAUCUUGUGUAUAGCAGGUUUCUGGUUUGAAAAACUAAAAUAGCCUUGGGUUGGGAUUCUCUUUUAUAGAUUGUAAGUUUUGUACAGGAAGCUUAGUUUGCAGGGUAGAGAUACAUGGGAAUUGCAGCAAAUGCUACUUGCUGGAGGUCCUGCAAAUCUGCCAUUUAUUUGGUAAUUUGAGGCAGAAUUUAUAUCUAAAACCAAGUGGGAGCCUCUAGUCUAACCAACUUGCUGUUGGUAUUUACAGUAAUCCCUUCUGUACUCUCUAUCAUGCGCAAUACAGAGAAAUAGUCUUUCAUAAGCCGCUGCCAUCUUUGUGGCAGUAUAUAAUUUCAAACCCCUUUCUCUUGCCAACUGACCUUUCUUUUCCAGAAUUACUCUUCCAUCUUCCCAAACCUCAUACAGAGCUUUCUUUAGUGAAGGCACAUUUGGUGAAAAUGUAUACCCUAUCUCUUUGCUGACAAUCACAGAUUCUGUAAUGCUAGCUAGUUUUGUGGCCAUGAGAGGCUUACCAGUCAGGACAGCCUCCAACAAGGUGUGAUCUAACCCUUGAGCUCGAAGAGUUGGGUUUACCAGUAUAUCUAUUGCAUUGUAGAACCCUGCCAACUCGGCCUGUUCCAGUGGCCCCAAAACCAGUAAAUUGGAUCCUAGCUCUCUAUAUCUUUCACCCCAUGGUCCAUCUCCAGCGACAAGAACCAUGACAUUAUCCCGAAUUGUAGAAUUUUCCUUCAAAAUUUGCUUCAAAGCUUGAAACAUCAAUGGGUGUCCCUUGUCCUUUACUAACCUUCCUGCCAUCCCUAGGACCAAUGCUUUGGAUUCUGGAAUGCCAAACUUUGACUUGAAGACUUUGGCCUUUAGUGCAUCUGGCUUGAAUACUCCCUCAUAAACACCGUUAAGAAUAAUGUGAACACGAUCCUCUGGUAUCAUGUAGAUCCGUCUGAGGACAUCUCCGACAUGAUCACUAGUGGCAACAUGGUGAGCAUAACGAGGGAAAAACCUCACCUCUUCCACAACCUUCUUCACCCUUUGGGUCAGUAGAUUUGACUGGGGCUUAUCGGGAGAUCGCAGAAGCUCCUGAAUGAUGUCAGAAUGAAUGGAUUCAUAUGCAAUGCCAUGCCAACUAACAGCUAAAUUAGUCAGAUUCCUUGCUCUUGUGUGCAUAAGCCCGACACUUUCGGUGUGGAUCACAUCAAAGGCUCUUCCUGUCGAGUUUUCAGUUUGAAAUUGCUUCCACACACCAGCUUGGUCCAGAUAACCAGCAGCUGUCGGUUUCGAGAGGUGAAAUUUUAAGUUGCUGAUUGGAUAUUCCGUGAAGGAGGAGUUCGACGAUGCAGUAGUGAAGAUAUGGAGCUCAUGCCCCCUUUCCACAAGAGUAAGAUGGAGAGUCGUGGCAUGGCGUUCGAGCCCUCCGGCAUGAUGUUUAUCAGGCCAUUUCUUGACAAAGAGGGCUACUUUCAGAAGUCUCGCGGGUGGUUUUGAUGGGAAGUUAAGAUUGUUCCAUGCUGAUGGAUAUGUAAGCAAGUUAAUCGUUCGGUUUUGUUCCUGCACUGCCGUUUGGAUUUCUGAAUAGCAGCAUUUAGAGCAGUGAGACCAGUACAAGAAUGAAAUAGAUGAGAAAGUAGACAGGAAAACGAGAACGCAGCAGCAGUACCGGAAAUUGAACAAAUUUCUCUGAUCAUUUGCCAUGACACUUCCAACAAUCAGAAUCUGUUCCUCUCACAGGAGGAAAGGGAAAGGGUACUGUCACUUGCAAGAAAGAUGCAUGUAAAAUUUGGUCUCUGUUUUGGAUCCGAAGAAGCUUGGUUUGCACAUUAUUUUCAACUUGGUUAAUUUGGUAUCAAAUUUAUAAACGUCUUGGAUCCAGCUUCGUUGACUUGAAGGAUUACUAUAAUCUGUUCCACCUGCUACUUUGCUGACUGUUUCCCAACCAAACAGUGGUUCCAAGCCUUGAGAAAGCAAGUUGCGCUCUUAGAUAACACACUAUAAAAUGUUUACAAAGUGAAGUCAGCAGCUCGUGCCCACGCUUAGCUUUGAAUCAAUCCACCGCAUGCCCACAUACAGCGUACCUAAGUCAUUAAUUUAUGUAGUUGUUAAAAAGGAUACUACCCAAUUAGGGAUUAUAAUUUAUGAACAGUCUCUCUAAUUCUCAUCCUCGAUAAAUGUUAUAGUAGUACAUUACUACCAUCCUCAUUUUCCCUAGUAUAAUAGUAAGUAUUUCGUUUCAUGAAGAACGAGAAGAAUUAAAGCGCUCAUUGCCUUUAUGUCUCUUUUCUUGACCUUUUUCUUCCCUCUAUCCAGAUUAUAAGACACAGUAACAAUCAAAAGUUCAAAACAGUGUGAAAUCCUAAACAACCGAGAGUCACUGUACUGUGCCGCACAGAUAUUUGAUGAUAGUACUACGAUUAUUCAUUGGUUUAACUAACUCCUCUAGACUAUUUCACAACACAGACUCUUAAGUCAGUGAUUGUUGCUUAGCCAGGCGAAGGAAAUUGACUGAGUAUAAUGAUGAUCUUGCUGCUGCAUAAUUCUACCGAGUAAAGGCAUGCAACACCACGUAUAUGUAAAUAACAAGCGCAGAUGGCACCAAUAUCACCAGCGGAAAAACAGCCCCAGCGGUAUACCAGCUCCGGCAGGCCAAUGUUCCGAGCUUAAUUUGAACAAAAUCCACGAGUGCCAAUGUCAAGAAAACACAACCAGCGACAGAACCUAAUGCCGAAGCCAAAAUCCCAGAUUGCAGAACCUUCAAAUUGACACGAGCAACGGAAUGCAUUUCAGCGCCAUAAUAUCCGUCCUUGGAACUUCUGAUGGCCUGUUUGAGGGCUAAGGCAAUAAGGCUAGAAAAAAGGAAGGAGCUGAAAGAGUAGACGUGAAAUUUUACGAAGUCUUCCACCAUGCCAGAGCUUGCGGUACAAACUGGGGACGCAACAAGGGUGUUACUGGGGUCCCCGAGGUUCCAAGCAAGGCCUAGGAAGACUCCUACGGUGAACAAUGAAUUCACGUUCAGUAUGCCAUCUAAGGCAAGAACGUGUAUGCUGGUAGUGGAGGUGCUAGCAGUUUUCUCCCGGUCAAUGCUAGGAGUGUGGCUACUCAUUGAACGGCUGAUAAGAGAGUUUGAGAACUAGCAGUUUCUUUGAUCAACACUUCCGAGAACAUUUCUGUUGUUUAAUUCAUCUAUAUAUUUGCGGGGUGCUUUUUCUUGCCUCUUCAUUUGUAUUUUGUUGGUCCCAGUCCAGGUCGAGGAGUGGCGUCAAAGGUAGAAUCUCUAGUUACGUCUCUUCAGCGGCAAGGGAGGGAGGGAGGGAAAGAAUUUGGUCCGUCUGUCGAUUGAGAAAGCUAACAAAACUGAAAAGAGAGGGAAAGAACUUGGUCUCGCAGUUCAGAAAGGGCAAAAACUGAAAGCCAAAAAGCGCCGUUGCCGGGGAUCGAACCCGGGUCACCCGCGUGACAGGCGGGUAUACUCACCACUAUACUACAACGACUGGUUGCUUAGCCAUUUGUGUAAUUUGUUAGUUAUUCGUGGUUCUAAGAUGAGAAUGGUCGAACAUGAUAAGGGACGUCUCUUGAUCGGUUGAUCCUAAUGACGUAUGACUAAUCUUUUCGUUUUUUUCCUUUCCCUAACUUUAUUUCUUUUCUGGGUAUAAAAGCAUACUUGCUUAUUUGCAUGGUUGUGUUAGUUUUACCAUAGGAGAAGUGAUGUUAGUACGCUACCAGGAGGUUGUACUUUAAAUCAAAUUAUGCAGGGAGGUCUUUAGCUCUGCUUUAACAGGAUCACUAGAGGAAUUCGUCCACACACGGCAGUCUAUUUACGGUACUUAGGUACAACAUACAUACGUCGUCUGCUAUUUCGUGUAUCAAGCGAUGAUACGAUGUCCCGAUCUUUGAACAGCACCGAUCCACUCAAGAUCUAGUUGAGCCAGUCAAAGAUUCUGUUGUGCUAACAAAUGAACGGACUUGCUUCUCUCAGCAAAUUUUGUUUUCAAUUUCUCGCAAGCAAUACACAUAUGAACACGUGACUGACGUGUGUCAUCAUUUAUUAACAAUAAACAGGAUUAAUCAGAUUUAAAAUGAUCACGUCUCUUUCCAGUAAAUAACGACACAUGCCACGCAUGUAAAUGUGUAUUUUCAAGGAAACGGAGAGAUGAUCUAUCGAAAAAGAACUAUAUUCACUGUAUCCAUGUUUUUUUAGCAAGUGAACAUACUUACUAAUGAUUAAUCACUGGGUUGAUCUAGCAGUCAAGGGUAGAGUUCUUUUUACCGUCAGACUUAAAAUUUGAAAAGAAAAGAAAAAGCAUAACACGCACAAAUCAGAAUGAAUGAUGGAAGAAGAGGUGAUUUUUGGUUGGUGGCUGAACCGACCUGAAUCAGUCCUCUCUGAGAUGAGGUGAGGUGAAUUCUUAUGUCCGAAGUCAACCUCCUUGUCCGAAGUGAAUGGCGGGGCUUCUCCCCUGGGAUCACUCCGACGAUCAAGUUAGUAUGAGAACGAGAAUAAUAAGAGUACGAGUCAAUGAACAGUAUAUCCUUACUUGAGGUGUGCAUGAGAGGUAUUUAUAGAGUAGGAGUAAAGGAUAGAUCGGAGGGCUCAUGCCGGUGGGACCCGCAUCCUGACAUUACGGCUCCCUGCAAUCAAGGGUAGAGUUCUUUUUACCGUCAGACUUAAAAUUUGAAAAGAAAAGAAAAAGCAUAACACGCACAAAUCAGAAUGAAUGGAAGUAGUACAUUCAGCUCUUAAACACUUUUCUUAAAAAUCAGGAUGACAAACACAAAUACUUGCGUAUUAGUUAGCUAAUCUCCUUGACCCUUGGAGUCAGAAUGGAAGUCGGGCGGAGGCAUCCAUCCUAUGCUAUUGCUUCGCAUUGUCCUGAAAAAAUAUCCCAGAUAGUUUAAAAUAAAAGUUGCGUGUGGCUGUCACGUACUCGCAUGGUACUUCGCUGGGGCAGUUCAAUUCAAGGUGAAGAUGGGGGACACCACGCCCGAGUCUACAUCCCUCAAAAGCUCUCCAUACAAAAUGCGGUGUAGCAUCAGCAGUGGGGUUCAUUUUCGUCCGAUCAUGUGCCUUGCUUGCUUCCGCACGACUUUGAGAUUCAUACAGUUUUGCACCUCUCUACAUCGCCCAUUCAUUCACAUUGGUCCCUCUCUCGCAUUAAGUACGUGAGUUGAAACAUAUCAUAUGGCACCAUUGAGCUCACUCGGUUAACCGUUUGUUAUGGAUAAAUAUCAAAUCAACUCGGUUAGUAAUUGUGCCACUUAACUCAUCACAAUUCAGCUUAGCAGUGAGAUUAUUCAAUCCUUUGUUUGGAGUGCAUUUUUCUGACUUUUUUUUUUUUUGUAGAAAAAUUACUGUAACGAUUUGAUACAUGUGUCAUUGAAAAAUGUGUAAUCACAGAAAAUACAACGUUAAUAAUGUUAUUUUACCAAUUGAGCUAGAUUUUGGGACAUUCUUUAAUUUUUAGCACACUGAUUGUUUACCACCACCUUUGUGUGUGUGUGUGUGUGUGUGUAUAUAUAUAUAUAUACCUUGUUUAAGAUUGAAAUUAACUCGAUGGAAAGGGGCGUCGAUAAUGGCGGCAGCCGCAUCAAGCUGGGUCAGUGGGCUCAUCCUUAUCAAGUGUUUAAUCGACAAAUCAUAUUUUUAGGAGUUUAAUAGGUAUGAAUUUUGAGUGCGUCGGCCUUUUCCAGGCGACUUUCUUAUUUAUUGCAAAAUGUUAAAGUAAAAUUUUAUCUUCUGUGUUCUUCUAAUCCCUGCCGUGAAGAUCUUAUGAGUUAACCACUCUAACUAGAACUGUUUUUCGGUUAUUUUUUGCCUUAGGGGGCUCAACCGUUACAAUAGAAACAGAAAGCUGUUGAUCCGGACUCCAAAUGCAUGAGCUAAUCAAGCACGUUGGCAAGGGACCACUAUAUUUCUUCCCCAAUAAAAGAAAUUCAAAGUAUUUGACUGUGGAUUCAUUUCUGACGACUUUAAUGCCUAAUGAGAACCAAAAUCAGACUUCGAUUGAAAAAAAAAGCAGUUAAUUAGAUUAGAUGCGGCAGGUUAUUAAAACAAGAAACGAUGAAAUGAGAUUGCUGUGAAGUGCAACAAACAGACCAAAGGUUUUGAUUAUCUAUUGAAGUUAGUAGUGUUGGUGCUUCAGGGCUUGCUGUCGCUUGAUUAUUUUAACUGAUUAUAAAUUCUGAUUUUGGAUAAUGUUUGGCGGAUAAGUUUUUUGUCAAGUUUGUCUGUCACAAGUUUUUUAAAAAUUUUUACAGUAAAAUUUUAGACAAACACCCGAACAACUCACUUGCCAAAAAGGGCUCUGUUUUUAUGGUAUUUUUGAUUGAUUUUGUAUUCUGAUUAUAUAUUUUUUUUAAUAAUAAAAAAUUAAAAUAUAUGAUCGCUUAAAGAGUAGUUUUUACUUCUUCUGAUUAUACUCUACAAAUACUUUUUUUAAUUAGAUUUUGUAAAAUUCAAAACAACUAAGAGCAAGGACAGAGUGAUGCUACUCUUAUCGGAUUUUUCUUAAGCAUCCGGUAAGGCCGCUCCUCAACUCAACCGCGCGUGAAAGCAUAUAACCUUCCUUAAUCACUAGACUUCCUGUUCGUCCCUGGGUUAAAGAUCCCAAAAAAGACAACGAAUAAAUACUAGUCGGCUUUUUUCUGGUUUUUGGCCGCUCCUGGGAACAUGCUAAUUGCAAAGUAGACUCCAUCGGCUGUCCAUGUGGAAGCAUUAGUUAAACUUGUUUGUAUUGCUUCUACAUCGGAUACAGACAUCUAUGGUGGUAGUAAUAGUAUGGCUGAAUCCCCCGCCCCAAAUGGCAAAAGACAACCAAAUUGUACAGUAUUUGGUUUGUCAAAAAGAGUGUUUGGAUUGUCAUUAUUUCUUUACUUGUAUCACAGACAUAAUUUUAAAUAUAAAUUUAUAUUUUUUUAAUUAUAUUUUUAUUACACGUACGUGACAUUGCAAAAAAUACUACUAUCACCAUUAUUUUAAAUAAUAAUCUCCUGUUCAUACACUGGGCUUCACAGAAUUCGGAUCAGACUUAGAGGUUAAGUAUGGUGGCCUAUCCCCCAAACCUAACAUGCUAAGUCAACCAUGCAGGUGAACCGGUGAAAUAAGUUAAAGCAACCCCAACUAUACAACCAUAGUAGUAUUGUAAAGCAACCCCAACUAUAAAAAACCAUGGUAUUGUUGACGUCAAUAAAAAGAAAUAAUUUCAGAACCCCUCCCUCCUAAAAUUUUUUAUAAUUUCACUAAGCUCCCUUGAGAUUUUAAAAAUUACACUUACCUCUCUUAUCCACCUAAAAUGACAAUAUCAAUCUUACCAUUUUAAUAAAACUCUCUUGUUGGGUGUGCACAUGCAAAGAGUGGGUUUUAUAAUUAUUGUAUCACAAGCAACACUAACUCAAUAAAAAAAAAAAAAAAGGGAUCCAAAACUACUAUGAUAAUUUUACCAAUCCAAAAUCCACAAACCCUAAAAGAGUAGUGAUGACACGACGCUUUCUUCUCCAAUUCAGAAAAAAAAAACAUGCUUAUUGACGAUAGAGUUAUUGUUAUAAUUGCUUAUUAAACAAUAAAUUUUGUAUUGAAAACUUGACAAUCUUUUCUUAUAUUGUACAAAAGACUAUAUUAGUAUUGCUUUAGAAAGUAAUUGAACUUUGUAAGGCGAGGGUAUUUUGGGAUAUUCGUUUAGAUUUUUGACCAAAUUUAAGGUUUGGUUGCCAAAAGCAUCAAAUCAAAGGUGAUAAUAUGCAAUUUUUAAAAAUUUAAGGGAGCUCAAUAAAAUUAUCAAUAACUUCCUAGAGGUUUAUGAAAUUAUCCCUAACAAAAAUCCCUGCCACCAACAAAUGGCGGGUGGAUUGCGUGGGUAGACAAAUGUAGGAUCCAACUACUAAACCCCAACUGAACUCCUGACCAAAUAUGUGGAGUUUUUCCAAACCCGAUUACCUGCCCCAAACCACCUUUAAAUGCUUUGCCAAACGCCCCAAAAAUACGAGUGAUUUGGGAAGGAAUCUUUAAAUUUAUCAAAGCCCCACCACCUCUCAAUUACUUAUUCAUUAAGUGCAUCUCAAUUCUCAUUUCUAUCAGUUUCUCCCACUACUUCUGCUACUACAACAUCAUCAACAACUCUGUACCGAGUCCUUACCGUUCUUUCACUGUUGAACUUUACUAGUACUGCUACAAAGCCUGGCGCUACGAUCAGCUAAAGGUAAUCGUAUGCUGCUGGCUUCGUUUUAUGGCUUCCCACGAGAGAGAAACUCGUUUGCUUCCAUCUGAAUUAUUCCACCAAGAAGACCAUGAUGUUUCCUCCGAAGAUUACAGCAACAGCAGCAGCAAUAAUAAUAGUAGUAGUAUCAUGGUUUCGCCAAAAGGGUUGCGUAGUUUGGAAUCAAAUUUCAGUUUUGGUGGAUCAGCGUGCUCGUCUUGGUCGGAAUUUAGCUCUCCGAUUAGUUCGGAGUUGGGGUCGACGUCCGAGAGUAAUGAAAGUGAAGAAGAUGAUCAAGAAUUGUUCAUUUCUGAGUUGACUCGUCAGAUGGCAGAGUACAUGCUCCAGGAUGAUGAUGACGACGACGACGACGACAAUCAUAAUAAUAAUAAUAAUACCAAUCAAGAUCAUGAAAGUUCAGUUUUCAAUUACGUCCCCGAAAACUCUGAGGUACUUUUUGGUUUCUUUGGUGAAUAUAUUCUAGUAUCAAAAUUUUUUGGAUGCAUAUCUAAAUUAAUGUCCUUUUUUUUUUUCUUGGUUUUGAAUAGAUACGGAAGGCAAUUGAUCAUACAAGUACAGCUGCUGACUGGUCCAAGUUGAAGUCCGGCUCAGUUUGUUACUACAACAGUCAGGGAUUCGUGAACAAAUCUGAGAAUCCCACUUCAGAGCCUGCAGGUGCUAAGAACCUGAAUACAGGGAUUCACCCAGACGACGAUUCAACUGAUGAACAGUUCCCACCAGUCCAAGUAAGGAAUUGAAGUGGUAGUAGGAUUACUUACUCUGUGUUAGGUGGUACCAAAUUUUGAAUUAAUUACUAUCCAACCGAUGGCUAAUUAAAGGCAACUUAAUUACUACCUUUUUUUUUAAUGGCAGAUUUAUCAGUUGAAAAAUCAACCACAAAUGAGAAAACAAGGUUCGUACGGGGGAAGACAAGCUAAGGCGACUGAAUCAACUCAGCAGCAGCAGCAGCAGCUACUUCAGCACAAGGAACAACAGAGCAUGCAGAACAAAGGCAAGGCAAAGAGAUACGGCCACACCAAAAAGCCUAGUGUUCCUCUAUUCCCUACGGCUGGAUCGGGUAUGAGGGCAAUUUUUCUUGGAGGAUCCGAACGAAACGGGUCUUCUGGCACAGGUGUAUUCUUGCCGAGUGCAACUUACAGCACACCCGAACCCAAAAGAAAAUCCGGUAACUGCCUACUCACUCACCGGUUACUUCUUCACGCUUUUUUUUACAAUCUCUUUUGUUCGUUCUUUUUUUAAAAAAAAAAAUUACUUUAAUAUUUUUUUCUACAGAAAUAAUAAAAAAGAAAAAGAGUCAGUAUCUCUAGUUCCUAAUACAAAUUACUACUAGAUGGUGGAACUUGUCUAUAUGCCUGAAUCAAGAUGAUAUUUUGCUGUUUGUGGUUUUUCCCACUGCAGUAAUUAAAACUUAAAAUUACAGAAAAGGAAAAAAAAAAAAAAACAAAUCCCUUUUUGUUCUUUUCACCUUUUGAAUACAUGUAGUACUUCUUUACUGCACUUCUUUCCCGUCCGUAUAAGCAGCACUACGUUUAAAAUAUCAUUUAUUCAGUUGGAGUGAUUCUAGAAAUGUAAUAAAACCUUCUUGUUUGCCGAUAAAUAUUCAGUUUAUUAAAAAACUCGUUAAUCAAUUUCGAGUUAAAACUCUAGAAAUUAUGUAGGUUAGUUUAAUACUUGCUGCUAAUACUACGUUGUUGAAGGGUGGUUGGGUGGGUGUGCGAGGGUGGGUGGAAGGAUGGAUGCGGAAUCUGUUGGACAGUAUAAAGAAACUGGUAGUACUAACUACUAAGAAGUUUUGGAUCCUGCAGUUGUUUGGUUGUGACCGAACGCAGCAAGUGAUGGACCCCCCUUCGUGAUUAAGGAGUCCUUGGGGGAGGCUGAGAUUCCAUACCCAUCAAAACUGAGCUGUAAUUUUCACACUCAAGUUAAUAAUAAUAUAAGAGAGAAGUAGAGGAAUGGAUUCCGGAAUAUGCAAAUUGGGCAGGGCAGCACACAUGCAUAGGAGGCUUGGCCCCAGAAUCUUUCUGUCGCUGGCUGGCUGGCUGGCGCGGGAUCCACUCAUCCACUCGAUUCGUUAAUUAAUUUUGGGUUCCUCCAUUCAAGUAUCUCUGCAGAGAUACGUGUCUAAAGAUGGAAUCAAUGCUGACCACUCAAACUCUGGCUCUGAAUGAAAGGCAAAAAUAUAUACAUGUAUCUACUAGUAAUGAAUAAUCUCGAGUGUGAGACUGGACUGUAGGAGCAAUGAAUAAUUCACAAGUAAUUUGACUCUCUUUUUCUUUUCUUUUCCUUUUUUUGUUUGGUGGUUGCCUUCUUCUAAUUCUAUGGACGUAUCAGGAUGCUCGACGGUUCUAAUACCGGCGAGGGUGCUACAGGCGCUGCAACAGCACUUCAACACGGUGGGUGCGCUGUCGCCCUCAAAUGCUGCCUCCUCUGCUACUACUAAUCUCCCUUGGCAAAAUGGUACUUUCCCAUCCCACUCACCCACCUUUCUGCGCAGCCUCCCUGAUUAAAUUUAAGCUGGCCGAGUUAGUUGGUUUGGUUGCUGGUAAAGCAACAUCUACCGGUGUAUGUCUGAGCCGAUUCAAAAAAACAGAUUAAUAGCCUAGUACGUACGGUACGGGAGGGAGACUGAGGAUGCAAUUUUUCUUUUCCUUUUUUUUAAAAAAAAUUUUUUUUGGUGGCCUGGAUUUGUUUUACAGAGGUAUUGGCAAGAAUAAAUGGUUUGCUUUCACAACGAAAGGAACAUGCAGAAUUCCAGACUCGGCCGGCAGCGGCAGAGGCAGAGGCCGAAAGCAGCCACCUGCAGGAUGUGCAGUUACCUCAAGAGUGGACGUAUUAAAUGAUCGUCUUGGGCGGGCUGGAAGGUGUCAAGAGAUUGUUGAUGAAGACAAAAUAAGUUAUUGCAAAUAAAAUACUAAAAGAAAGGGUUUGGACUUUCUUGGUUCAAAUAAAUGAUAUGCCAAGAAUCUGCAGGAAGCCUUGCAAUAAUAAUAAUAUAAUACUAGUAGCAGUAGUAGUAGCUAUUGAGCUGAGAAUUGUGUCGCUCUCAGCACUUGCCCUCUGCUAAAGGUGGUGGAGGCCGGGCGGGAUUGUCAAAAUUGGUUGACGGAAUAAGAAGGAAUCAAUAAUAACAUAUAUAUUUGUUUGUGUUAUAGAAACGAAUAAUUGAGAUGGGAGUGCGUUUGUAGGUUUGCUGGCUAAGCGCAGUAAUGUGAUUGGAUAGGAGGGUGACUCUUUGUUGAAUUCCUGUGUAAAAAAGAACUGGCUGUCCUUAUGCUAUAAGAAGAUGUUCCCGUGAAUAUUCAAAAGGAGAAGCUACUUUGGUUGGUUCAUUACGUUAUUAUUAUUGUUAUAUUUUUUUUUUGGUUGCCUACCACGAUGUCCAGGGCUGUAUGUCCAGGACAUCCAGGGCUGUUCGUUAAUAUAUAUAUUAACACUUGAUAAUAUAAGGAUUAUGUACGAAAGGGGCAACAGCCCUUGCAUCUAUCCUAUUUGCUUCUAUCAACAUACUUGGGAAGUCAUUUAUUCAAUCUAUAUCAUUAACUAGUUUUGAUGCAAAAAGUACUAGCCUAUGACUUGCUAUAUUAGAUGUUCUUUUCACUCCGCUGCUUUUUUUUUUUUGGCCCAACUGUUGUAGACAAAGAUAUUUGUAGUCGGUUGUGUAACCCUUUCAUGUUUUAUUUAUGGGGUGGAUGAUAGGAAUUGGGUGGAAGCGGAAUAGAAAUCCUAUCUACUUGGUUCUUGCUUAGUUAAGCAGAAAUCCAUGUCCAUACGUAUUUCUGAAGUAAAAGUAGAUGCCGGUUGAUAAAGAAAUUCUUGAUCAUCAGCUAAUAUGAAACUUGUGAUUUGUAAUAAAACACCGAUUCGAAUACAAGCGUGCAGAUGUAAAACGCUUUUCAAUCCUUAGACCUGGGAGAAAGAUCUUAUAGUAAAUCUUUCAUAUGGACUGCGUUGACGAAUGGGACUAGUAGUUCCGUGUGAAAGCGCUCAUUGCAGCCGACAGAGGGACUACGAAAGCACUUUUUGACUGUUCGAUAUUACACACACCCACUUGAUUCUUGGAUGGCAGGUAUACGGCUGCAAACGUCAAAAUCAACUCAUCGAGUGGUGGUCGUGCCAGCAGCAAUAGCACCCAAAACCUCCACUCCUCACUCUCCACAUAAUGAUAAUGGAUAGAGAGAUUAUUAGCGUUGCAAUGCCCCCAUCUAUCUGCCUGUGGAGGGCGUAGACAGCACCCCAAUCUAGUCGCAUCCAAAGUACUCCUCCGUCAUGAUGGUGCGGAAAUGGAAUAAUAGAAGUGUGCGGCGGGGAAAUCGGCCGGGGGAUGGCCUACAUGGGCCGGCCAACCACCGCCGAAAUGAUCUCAAUAAAUAUUCCAUCUACGUCACUAUUCCAUCUUUCUGAUCCUGCGCUAGCUGGAGCAGGAACAGAUGUGAGAGACAGGGACAUUUCUCUCUCUGAAACAUGCAUAAAAGUCGUAAUGCUUGUGUGUCAGUGUCAGCAGUAUAAGAGUCGAAACAAGGAUUCUUUUCAGAAGAAUUGAACUUGGUUUUGUAUUAGGCAACUUUCCUCAAUUAGUAUCAAGCAUGAUUUCUCUGUGGAACAAUACAUGUAUAUCCAGGCGUAUAAAAUACAUACACACCAUCGAAAUGCACAAUUUUCGUGCUGUGUGAAAUUUGAGUUGACGAAUUUUCAGACCUCUGGCGACCAAGUAAUGUAUCGUGUUGGUCAGAAAGGGGAAAAACACAACGUCAAAUCAUCCGCAAAUUAUCUAUCGCCUUUGAUGUUUUCCUUUAUUUUUUGUUCAAAUACAAAAAGGUCAGAAAUAUAUAUAUAUGUUAUCAGCUUUCUCAUUUUUUAAAGCAGAAUUGCUUCUGGACAUGAUCGCAGUAGGUGAGAGCGAUUAGAAAAGUCAAACGGAUGAAUUGUCCGAUUACACGCUAUGAUUAGGGGUGUUCGGUAAUCGGGGGAAUACGCUAAAGAAAACAUUUUGGUAAUUUGGAAAUCAAUUUUUUUAAUAUUUAUCAUCCAAACUUUAGUUUGAUAAUUUAGAUUAGAGAACUGGUGAUUCAGGAAUAUUCGAAAUUCGAAAUGUCAACAGUUAGUUAAAUUUUCUUAAGAAAUUAUUCAAUCAACUUAACUCGAACAAACAUGAUAUGCAAAAAAAAAAAAAAAAAAGGGUUUGUAAUCCAAAGUCCUAGCUCGUAGUCUUAAUUCUUAAACAAAAUUGAAGUAAACAAGAAUUUGAAAUUUAAUUGUCAAACUAAACUCUAUCAUGUCAAUUUUCAUCAAAAUUUGACUUUCAAAUAUAGUUAUAGUUAAGUAAGCUAAUUAGUAUUUAGUAAUACGAUUAAGAGUUACUCUUAUAUUUAGUAAUAUAUAUAUAUAUAUAACAUUAUAUUAUAAAAUUUUUUGAUAAUUCGACAGGUAAUCGGUAAUUCGAUAAUGUAUUGUUAACGUCUAUUCCCGAAUCGUUAAUUCGGGGAAAUUAUAUUUUGAUUUUUUUGAAUUCCGUUUUAUCGAUAUUCGAAAUUCGAUCUAGAUUGGAUCAGCCAAUUAUUUAUUUAUUUUUUAAAUAUGAACACCCCUAGUUAUGAAUCCACUGUAGUUAAAUUAUGCCGAAAGGAGUUUUCAAUUUUCCUAGUCUUUUUUCAAAUGUGAUGCACUGAUCCAUCACAUUUGGACUUGAUUUCCCACCGGUGAAAUAAUAUACAUGGCACCGCCUUAAAGCGACUUUUAUUGGAUAACCCGUAUCAAUCAUUUAGCGUGGGAUCUAACACUCGUGAAUGUUAUUUCCUUUAAGCACGUCAUGAUUCUUAUUUUUUAUUUCAUUGGCGGGUCAAGUUUAAAUUUUACUCCGCGUUGAAAAUUGAAAUUUUCAACAGUGACUAUCCCCUAAAAGCACGUGUCCUAGAUGGAUUUAUACCUUUGUAGUAUGUAUCCUGUCGUUAAUUAAAGUUGAAGCACCGAAGAUUUGUUUUCAGUGGUGGUAGUUCAGCACUCUAUUGCUCCAAUUUCUGCUAAUCAUAUGGUCAUUCAACAAACUGAUUUGGGGGGAGAAAAAUGCUGUAGCACAUAUUCUGCACGAGCAAGCAACAGACUGAUUUGUAAGGUUAAAAUCUUAACUCCCAUCACUCGCCACUAUAUAUGACUUGUCACUUUAAAUGACUUCUUCUAAAUCCGUGCGAGUGCGUAAUGCACCCGUAUGGUGCGAUCGUAGUUCAAUCCCCAUCAGUACUCUAACAGACCAGUCGGGUCCUUUCUUGAAAUACGUUCAAGUAGAAAUAAAAGUAAGUAUAGGUUAGAUAAGUAACGACUGAUAAAAAAAAAAAUAAAAUGCAGAAGAUUACAUCAUGCACGAACGCACGUGAGUCUCUUUAUUAUGGGGAGAAAAUGAAAGCAUCCCGAACAAGAUUUUGUGUUUCAAGAUUUGAAGAUGAAUAUAAGCGAAUUUGCUUGUCACACUAAUCAGCCUACAAUUAUAUGAAAGGGUAGUUGACUUUUAUAUCAUGGAAAAGGAAAACGUAUUCAAGUUGUCUCAGCACAAAAAAUUAUCACCGAAUCUUUUUGUUUUUUCUAGUUCAUUUUGUCAACCAAAUUUUUAAGCAUGAUUUUGGACAACUGCUGAAUAUCAAAUUAGUCGGAAUGACGUUAGCUUUUUGUGGGCUAGCAUCAGAGAUACACAAAUGGAAGGACGUUGGCGUGUACGCCUAUCAAUCAUGGCAGCAAUUCUUGGACAAAAUCUGGGCUUUGUGUCUUGGAAUGUGGGCUUUUUGCUUGCAGUGUGCCCAAAAUGGCUAAGGUAAGUUUGAUCCGCAGUGAAUUGUCGGAUCUGGACCAGCUUUUGAUAUUACUACCCAAGUAUCUACUUAACCUUAUUUUUUUAAAAAAUUAAAAAUAAAAUAAAUUUUAGUCUGAUCUUUAGUUAGUAUGCUCUCUGUUGGGAUCCUUCAGUUUUUUAAAUAUUAUAAAAUUUUUUUAAAAAUACUCUAAAAUAUACUCUCAAAAGUAGUCUAAAUUUUUUUUAAGUUUAAAAAAAUUUCAAAAUAUAUUUAAAAAACUCUACUACUCUUAAAUAUUUCAAAAAUUUUUUAAAAAAUAUCCAAAAAUAUACUAUAAAAACUCCGUUACAAUAAAUUUUUUUUAAAAAUACCCCAAAAGAUAGCUAAUCCAAACGGAGUGUUACGCGAUGAAAAUGUUACACACAGAACUUUUAGUGGCAUUUGUUUAGGAAUCGUCGAUGCUUGAAAAUAUAGGAAAUCUCAAUAAGCAAGCAAGGCAGAGAUUCAUGCGUCUUUUAUGAGUAUUACCUUCAUGUGCACGCGAUUAUUAUUUGUUGAAUCUCUUACCGAUGGUUUGGUUUGUUGGAGAGUUUUAUCAUAGCGUUUGGGUCUCGAGUAGAGAGAGUAGAGGUUGUAUGAAUUUUUGUGUGGGCAACAAUCGGAAAUUAGUGCACCUAUCCGGUGCGAUGGUGAUUUAAUCCUCACCGGCCCCUAGAUCCAGUUGGGUCUCUCCCUUAUAUUAGAAUAAUGUAGCAUACUAUAAAUAAAAGUAACGAUUGACAAAAAAAAAAAAAAAAAAUCGGACAUUCGUUCACACGGCUCAUCUAAAUAAAUCAAGUAAUGCUACUAGUGCUAUUAUUGGCAUAACUCUUAGUAAUCAUGGAUUAAAUUCCAUUCCGUUGUGCUAAGUGACCCUUUCUGUACAGCUAUUAUAAUUUGGACCUUUUUUGUAUUGUUUUAUGGAGUAACUACUUGCACAUUAUAUAUAUCUAGAAAAUGAGGCCAAUUUUGAACCAUAUUUCAAUACUCAAUUGGUUUAUCUAGAAAAUGGAAUUGGAUUGCAAUCAGUGUUACAACCGUGACGUGCGAUUAACUUCAAAACAAAUUUGACUUUAAAAAAAAAAAAUAAUUCAGAGUUCAAAAUAUGACUGCUACUGUAAUUAUCAUAUCAUUCUUGGAAAAAAAACACACACACACACACACACACACACUCACUCGUCUCAUCCUUCCGAAAACAUGAAAUCCUCAGCAACUCAAGGGAGGAAGAUCGGACGUCUUGCCAGUCCCGGAUGACGGAUUAAAUGCCCUGCUCCCGAAAAAGAAAAACCCUAAAGCGUGACCGGCAACAGCCACAAGAAACACACCUGCAUUAAAACUCAUCACUGCCAACAUCACCAUAUAAGCCAGCCCAAUCCUGAUUCCGUACAUCAGCGUCUGAACCAGCCCGGCGGCGACGUUGUUGUUAGAACUUUCUUUGAUGAAUUUGCAGGCGGAGAGCCACUCAACCACCACAGUAAGAACGAAAACAAUCACAAGGGCUAAGACGUACAUGCCCAAAUUGUCGUAUCCCGGCCAACCCGAAAAGAGGAUCUCAGCAUUUUUCCCCCAGAAGAAAGUCAUGUGCAUCAUCAUAUGCCGAUGGGGCAUCAUCGACAUCCCUCCUCCUCCUCCUCCUCCGGUGCCGUUGUUCAUAGCUCCCACCCCAUGCAUAUGGCUACCAUCGUUCAUUCCGGCCAUCAUUCGAGUGUUUUUCUUCUUUUCUUUUCUACUUCGAGAUUUGGAAAGUCUGAAACAGAACUGUCUGGCCUCAAUUUUCCACUUAAAUAGUUUGUUAGCAAUAGUAGUAGGUUGUUACGGUACUCUUCAGAAUUUUGCAGUACAACGUAGUAAAAUUAUUGUAGUACAAAAGACGGAGCUGGGCAGGACAUUUUUCGUUUCUAUCGUACAGCCAAACGAUUUGGAAUGUGUACCAUAAAUAGAUAGGGUUGACGUCUGGGGUCUAGGCGUACGGUGAUAAAUUACUUCUUACUAUUUAUAAAAAAAAUAAAAAAAAAAAAACCGGUUGCAGAUGGGAUUUCUUGAAAGUCUAAAUACAAAUAAAAUGUUCCUAUAUUGGUAUGUGUAAUUCUUAAAUGCGUUCAUUAUCCUUGCUUUGGAUUGCAGAACCCAUACAGAAGAUAGUAAAAUGACAUUCUUACACACAAAUUGGUUAUUUUGAUUUUGCUUUUGAAAAGUAUCGAGAAGGCGCAAAGUCUCUUCUUCUGUCUAUCAAAUCUAAAUAUCCAAUUUCAAUUCUUUUUCUUGUCUUUUUAAGUUCCAAAAUUACUUGCAAGGUGACAAGCUAAUAUUCCUGUUUCUUAUUGAUGUAGCCUAAAUAAGUGGUUCUUUAGCAUUAAGGAGUAAUAAUAAGUAACAAGCUGGAAUAUUUGCUUUUUAUGAGAUCAUUGGUGCUAUUAGUACUCCAUUUCUCAUGCUAAAUCCAAAAUUACGUUUUUCUUGAUUUUCCAUCAAUAUACAUAUGGGAAUAUUCCAUUAACUAAUAUCGUAGUAUUUAGCUAAUAUCGUCGGGUGAUUAUCGUACCAUAACAGGAAUUGCCACAACUCUCGAAGCAAGAAAUAACAACCAACCCACCACCGUAAGGGGUAUUGCCAUAACUCUUCAAGCAAGAAAUAUCAACUACCUACCAUACAUAUAAGGGAUAGUUUCAGAAAUCUCCGUUGGGGUUUAUGACAAUUUCACUCAGCACCCCUUAUGUUUUGAAAUCAUAGAUACCUCCCCUAUUUUUGUUGUUUGGAUAGCAAAACAUCAUAAAUAGCAGCAAUUUUAAACAAAAAUACCCAAUUUGCACUUGUGCUGAAUAAAGAAAGAGAAUAAUAAAACAAACUAUUGUAAUGCCUUUUGUUCAAGUCCAUCACUAGCAUCACCACACAACACCAAUAAUGCUAGCUUUGUUGCUACUACAAUAAUCACGAACUACCAACUAACAACCAAAUAUUUAGGAAAGAAAAAAAGCAUAAUUUUAAAAAUGUAAGGAAAGUAUUGACAUAGACUUUUUUCUUCUUUUAAAGCAAAAAUUAACUUUUUCAUUAGUCAGAAAAGAACAUUAUGCAAGGGUGGAAGGUGGCUUGAAGUACAUUAAGGGACACUAUUACAAAGCACAAAUAGAAAAAGAAAGAAAGAAAAAUGCUUGAAGAGAAUGUGACUUGUGUUUGGUUUUGUUUUUCUUUAAUUUUCUUAGGCCCUCUAAAUUGCUAUGUAAGUUGAGUCUUAAAGUAGGGCUAAUAUGGUCAUUUUAUAGUGACAAGGAAGGUAAGUAUGGUAUUCCAUACAAUUAGGGUGCUAAGUGCCUAGUCAUAAUUAAGUCUUCGCAGAGCUUUUCUAAAUUAUCCCCAAAUAUAAUAGGGAUUGCCAUCAAUUCUUCAAUCAAGAAACAUUGACACUGUCUCAGAAGCGAAUCAACAGGAAAGGGGGUUACACAAAUGCUUCUCCACAAGAAAACCAAAAGGGUGAUUCAAGAUCAACCCUUAAAAAAAUACAAGAAAACUCGCAACAAUUGGAACUUUUGAUUAACAAUUGAUAAACAGAAUUAAUACAAAGGAUCUUAGAUAUGCUCAUUUAUAGGUUUUAAUAGUCUAAGCUAAUGAAAAACAAAAAUCAGGUGAAAACCCUAAAACGAACUAAAAAUCAGCGUGAAUCGAGUCAAUGGCCUUGCCUUUCCUCUGAUGCUGAUCCAGUGCGUUUUCGUUCAUAUAUUCCCUUGUCGACACUACAAUUACAAUUAAUAAUAGUAAAAUUAAAUAAAAAAAAUGACAAAAAUGACUACGACUAUCCAAAUUAAAUAAGAAUCCUUUUGACUUCUUGGACAAUUUUAUUGACACGAACGAUAGGUUCCUUCUUCUCUAAUCAAAUGCUAUUGGUUACUGGGGUAAAAAGGAAGAAAGAAAGAAAGAAAGAAAGAAAAGAGAGACAGAGUCCGCGUAGAUGAAAGAGUAUAUAGCGACAGCUCGUAGCCUACCUACCAGUGACUUCCUUCUCCCCUUUUCCAUUUCUAGCUCCUUCCUUCUUCCUCCUACCGCCUGUGCUGUGCUGUGCACUCCCUCAUGUUUCUCAAGGCUUUCAUGGACAAGGAAACAUAUUGCUUUUGGCUUUUACUAGUGAAGUUAGUUCUCACAUGUUUCAGUGAGUUACCACUAGAUAAAUACUACUAUCCUGUCAAUUAAUUAAGCGCUAAUAUCAGGUGUUAAAAGAGUCUCAUCUUCUCAGGUGUUUAAAGAAAACUAAACUACAGGAUCAUUUUCAGAAAGAAACCAAUCUACAAGAUCAAUACCAGCAUUACCGAACGCGUUAUUUUGGACGACAAAUAACUUGUGCACAUGAAAAUUUCGCUUAGCAUCACUAUACAAUUGCUAGGAGACAAAUGAACAGAGCCCAUUUUUAUCUAAGCUAGAAGCCUAGAAAUGGGAUGGAAUCUCGCGUUCUCCGGAUAAUUUAGCAGUUGAGGGGAGGAAGAUCAGCGGGCUUGUGAUAUGGUGCCGUGCCCGAUUCAUCAAACACUAGGCUGCCAAAGAUCAAGAAACCAAGAGAGUAUCCGCCAACAGCCGCCACAAAUACUCCUACAUCGAAAGACAUGACCUUGAGCAUCACCAUGUAGGCCAAAGCUAUCCGGAUGCUAUACAGUCCACUCUGCAUCAGCCCAGCAACAACGUUGCUGUUCUUGUCUGAGUUUAUAAGUCGCGUAUGAGAUAGCCAUUCAACUAGGAUUGACAUCGCAAACACCGCAAGCAAAUGGAGUACGUAGACAACGAUACUUUCCCAGUUCUCUCCAUGAAAAAAUGUCAUGUGUGUCUCCAUUUUUCUGCUCCCCACCUCAAAAUUUUUUCCUUGGUGUUAUCUCAAUUAGUGUCCUCACAACCGAGAUGAUUAACAGUCGAAUUAUACAUGGACAGAUGCAUCGUUCGCUCCUUUAUAGUAAUCUCUGUUGUUGGAGUGGACUGCAAUGAUAGUACAUGCUGGUCGUGCUGCUGAAUCAUUACUUUUGUACUAGCAAAAUGUCCGCAAGCUGUACGAUCAACUCGGAGAUGGCGGAACGGAACGAGAACGAAAAAGGGUAAAGCUGUCAAUCGCUAUCGGAGUCGGACUUUAAUAACAUCCCGUGCGACGCCAGUAUAUGUGAAAGUUAUCCUUAACUCGCGAUAUAUUCGGUUAUGAGUUUAAUUUGGAUUUACUCUAUCUAAAUUCACUUAUUACUCUUUAAUUUUUUUAAUAUAAUUACUAGAAUCAUUUAGUAGUAAAGUUAAUUUGAAAAUUACAAUAUUAAAACUACACAUAAAGCUUUAAAAAGUUCAUUAAAACACAUAAAGCAAAAAUUUUUCAACAAUGAUUGUAUCUGAUUCUUUUAAAAUACAUAAAAAAUAAUAAUAAAACAUGAAAAACAUAUUUAUUUAAUGAAUCUAAGUCUCUUUCUACUAAAUACUAAUAGUCUCAUUAUACAUUACAUAUUUCAAAAUAAUACAUUUAUAGUAAUAUAUAUUAGGGUGCAUAUAUAUAUAUAUAAUACAUAUAUACACGUAUAAUAAUAAUAAAUGUGAGCCGAGUUUGAUCUUCCAUAGGCUCAGCUGGAUUAAAGCCCGUCCAUUAUUACUUUUUUUUUUCCGCGCCUAUGAAAUUGACUUUGGGGACUCAAUAAUUAUGUUAUUUCUUGGAUAUUAAUUAUGAAAAUAGGUAGGUUGUUGACCUGGCCACCAACCACUUUGAACAAAGGUUCGUUGAGAUGGGAGCUAGUUUCAUUAAUAUUGUGAUUGAAGUGCGAUUAGCAGUUUUUAGAUGUUGUACUACACGCUAUUAAUCGUAUUGUGGUACGAGCAAUGAGUUUUGUUGUUAUAAUUAUGAACGUGAUGUGAUAAUUUCGACAAGGUUCCUCCUAUUUUGUCGAGGAGCAAGUUUUUUAUUACUCCCACGUUGUAUUUUGAUAGUCUUGUUUUUUUUUCACACAAUUUUAAAAAAAAUAAUUAAUUUUAUUAAAAAAUAAAUUUAAAUUGCUAUUUUUCUAAAAUACCCUCACAGUAAAUAGAGUACAAUUUUAUGAAAACUUGAAUGGAUGAUAAAAAAAAAUCAACUCUCAUUAAAGGUAUUUUAAAAAAAUUAAAAUACAACUACAUUCUUCAAUUGGAAAGUGAAUUAUAAUUUGGGACAGAUAAAAAAGAAAAAUAGAACUAUCAAAGUGGGACGGAGGGAGUAUUAAUUUUCCAUGGAAAGGAGGGAAAUGGCAUGACAGGGGCGCGUGCACUGCACACCCUCCAGCCUAACUAAUUGAAUUGAAAAACAAAACAAAAAGCAAUUUUCAUUUGUUUACCAAAAAGGCUUUCCAAAACGCUGCUAUUAAUAUUCUUUUCUGCAGAAUUGUUCUUCUCUACGCCCAUACAUGCACAGCACCAGCUUCGGGAGCUGAAACCGGCUUUUGUAAGAGCAUCAGUCAAAAAUCAAUCAAUCAAUCAAUCGAUAGCUCAUUUGCAACGGUCUUCGUCCUUUAAUUUAUUCGCAACCAAGAAGGAAGGGCAAAGAAAUGUCUCUGAUUCGGUAACCGAGUCGACCCCUUCUCCCAAGUCCUCUGCCCAUAUUAAUUGAUUGGAACGAAACGCCAGAAGCCCGCGUCAUUGAGAGGCUGACCUUCCGGGGGCUAAAAAAAGGAAGAAGCGAAAGUUGAAGUGGAAGAAGGCAGAGUCCUUCAGAUUAGUGGAGAAAGAAAUGCGGGGAGGGAAGACAAGAAAGACAAUAAGUGGCACCGCGCCGAAAGAAGCAGCGGGGGAAGUUCUUGAGAAGGAUCAGGCCGCCGCCGCCCUGGAUAAAUCUACUUUCUUAGUGGUACGUCUUCCAAGAUAAACUGCGAAUUUCAGAAUAGAGGGCACCACAUUGAUUUACGACGUUGAUAACAACAUCCGCUCACUGCCAUAAUAACGUGACGUCCACAUUGAUUUUGGAUCCAAGAGUGACAGAAGAGGGAACAAACGAGUAAACCGGAAGCAGGACUAAAACAAUCUCCGAAGUCCAAUUUCCAUGGACAUUAGCCGUCUAAAUUCUAUAGUUUACUUGAAAUAUACUUCCAAAACGCUUAGGUGACAUCGUUUGCCAAUUGUCAAUUAUGCGAAAUUCUUCAUCCAAACAAACAACUUUGUCACAGUUGGCAUGGACCAUGACGACAACUUCCAAGUCAUUGCAUUUCUCCUACGAUUGACAAAUCUAUAUGAUGGGGGUAAAAACUGCAAGAAGGGAAGCAGAUAAUUCAUCAGACCAAGAAUAAAAUUGGCGGAGGGCAACAGAGACGAUGGCAACACUUAGAGAUCAAAGGCGAAGCGUGGUAUUGGUCCCGUAUCCAUACCAGGGGCACAUCACACCAAUGCUGCAGUUGGGGCAAAUUCUUCAUUCUGGAGGGUUCUCUGUCAUAGUUGCACACACUAAAUUCAAUUCUCCCAAUCCUUUGAACCAUCCCGAAUUCUUCUUUUUACCAUUGAAGGACAAUUUAUCUGGCUUUGAUACUUCUUUUGGUAAUACAUUAGCCGUUAUCAGAGCCAUAAAUGAAAACUGCAGAGCUCCUCUACAAGGUUCUCUGGCUCAGAUGAUGAAAGAUCAGGAGAAGCAUGGCCAGGUCUGUUGUAUCAUUCAUGAUGCCAUCAUGCACUUCGGCCGCUCUGUGGCGAAUCAUUUGAAUAUAUCCAGCUUGGUCUUAGGAACCUGCAGUGCUCUUUAUAUGCAAGUUUAUCCUUCCAUUCUUCAACUUCAGUCAGAACAUUAUUUUCCCUUGCAAGGUAAACUCAUGCUAUUUUUCAACUUUAGCUUGCUUCUUUAAACCAUUAGUAAUGCACUUAAUUGUAGCACGGUGCUCCUAAAUUUUUGCUGCUAUUUGUCUCCAACUUUCGUUGCAUGUGUCAUGCCCUGGAAAGUUCCAUGAUCCUUAUAUCAUAACUAUUACUUCCUGUGUUAGUUUCAAGCAUCAGUCAUUAAUAUGAUACCUUGACACCAAACUUGUUGCAGAUUCUAAGAUGCUGGAACCUGUACGUGGGCUCGGCACUCUUCGAUUUAAGGAUUUUGCAAUACCCGCUAAUAUUGAAAUACCACAGCCAUUGCUGAAAUUCUAUGAAGAUACAAGCAAUUUGGGAUCCUCUGUUGGCAUCAUCUUGAACACAACAGAGGAGCUGGAUCCUAUGUCACUAUCACAGCUUAAGCAAUAUUACAAAGUUCCCUUAUUCACAAUAGGUCCUUUCCACAAAAUGGCUCCAACCUCAUCAUCAAGUAGCUUCUUAAAAGAAGACAGGAGUUGCAUGGCUUGGCUUGACAAGCAAGCUCCUCAGUCAGUCCUCUACCUAAGCUUGGGCAGUCUAGCGAGCAUAGAAGCAAAAGAGCUAGAGGAGACAGCUUGGGGACUAGCCAAUAGCGGCCAACCAUUCUUGUGGGUUGUUCGGCCAUCUUCUGUCAAUGGCUCAGAAUGGAUUGAGCAGUUACCGAAAGGUUUUCAAGAUGCAGUGUUAGAAAGAGGUCACAUAGUUCAAUGGGCACCUCAAAAAGAAGUUCUCGCACAUUCUGCUGUGGGCGGAUUUUUCAGUCACUGUGGAUGGAAUUCAAUACUGGAGAGUCUUUGUGAAGCAGUUCCAAUGAUUUGCAGACCCUGUUUCGCAGACCAAUUGGCAAAUGCAAGGUACCUAACUCAUGUUUGGAAGGUAGGCUUGGAACUAGAGGUGGUGGAAGACAGAGGAGUCAUAGAGAGAGCCAUAAAGAGACUGAUGGUCGAAAAUGAAGGCAAGGAAAUGAGGCAGAGAGCGGCGGACAUGAAACAAAAACUGGAUAUCUCGACAAAUAAAGGUGGUUCAUCACACAAGUCCUUGAGUGACUUGAUAGAUUUCAUCAACUCAUUUGCUAGGUGAAAAGUUUGUUCUAAGAAUCUAAGGCAGGCAUUGUUGGUACUUUGAAUACCAUCUCAUCCAGAAUCAAACCAUACUAAUUCUGAUACAUAAUAAAGAAUACCUCCAGUAUUUGAUCCGGUUCAUCAAAUCUUGUGUAGUUACAUUCUACAAGCCUGCAUCAUCAUCAAAGCAAUACAAAAUAAAAUUUUUUUUUUUAUUGAAAAGAGCAAUACAAACUUAAAUAAAGAAAUCUCAUAAAGAAUGCUUCCACUAACUCCAAUUAUCAAAAAUCAGUUAUCAUAACCCAAGUAAUACGAAUCAAAUGAAUAGACCUCACAGGUUCACCUCGUUAUCAUGGCCCCACAGGUUCCACACAUCAGUGCAACAAGUCUUUGGCAAAUCAUUGUGCUAUUAAUCACUCCCAAAUCCAACACACGAAUAAAAGAAAGCUGAAAGAAUUCAAACACGAAUUGCACUCAAGGAAAAACAUUUUAUUCACAAAACACAGAAUACAUACUUUAGUUCACAGUACGAUAGUAACAGUAGCCAUCCCAACAGACGCUCUCACAUACCAAGGCAAUUCAUCAAACAUAAACCGCUCUUAACUCUACAUUUAUUGCAUAACUAAACAAUUACUACCAAAUCAUUAGUUAACCAGAAAUCUGAAUGGCUCUGACAUCAGUCUUCUUGGCCUCUUCUUUGGGGAUGGUGAUGGUAAGGACCCCAUUCUCCAUGGCAGCUUUGAUCUGAUCCAUCUUGGCAUUUUCGGGCAGCCUGAACCUCCUCAUGAAUUGGCCGCUGCUGCGUUCCACCCGGUGCCAAGUGUCAUUCUUGUCUUCCUUCUCCACGUUCCUUUCGCCCCUUAUCUGCAAAACUCUGUCGUCCUCGACCUCAACCUUAACUUCCUCUUUCUUAAUCCCGGGGAGGUCCGCCUUGAACACGUGGGCUUCCGGGGUCUCCUUCCAGUCCACGCGGGCGUUCACAAAGGAUGAUGUCUCGCCGGCGAAGGACGAUGGGAGGGAGAUGUCCCUGAAGGGAUCCCAAACGUCCGAUGGGAAUGGGUCGAAGAUGCUGCUUCGUCGGUUGCCAAAGAAGCUUGGAAUGAGCGACAUUUUCAAUAGGAUUGGAAAUUGAAGAGCUUGUUGGAGAAUUGAAGGAGACGGAUGCUGUUUGCUUGCUGUUGCACUAGGACUCAGCUAUCGUAUUUCGUUGAUGGAGGAAGGGAGCGAGACGAUGGGCUAUUUAUUCUGUUCGACGAGGAGUUCUCGGGUGCUUUCUGGAUAUUUCCAGGCUUCACUCGUUUGGAUCGGAAGCUUGCAGAAGUGAAAAGAACUCUCUAGGCUUCACUCGCUUUAAGUGGAUGGGCUGAGUGUUUUAUUUUUAUGAGCAGUAUGGAGGACAUGAGUCACAUCAGGCCUAUUAUUUUUUGAGUUUUGUUUUGACUUAGCACAGCCCAUCUCAGAAAACCCAAUGGACAGUGGGUCAUUAAGUUGGGCCUUUAGUGGAGUAAUUGUCACUUGUUAAGCAAACUCAAUAGUCAGCCAACUUCAAAUUUUACUUACAAAAAAGGAAAAAUUUUCUUUUGAUCGAAAGCUAUCUUGACAAUAAUAAAGCCUCUGUAGGUAGUUAACAUCGUAUUAACUUUAUGCCGUCUUCAAAUUUACCCUUAUCUCUAUUAUCAAUUUCUAUUAUCCAUUAAACAUCUUUUAUCACUUUUUAAAUUUUCAUUUUUAUCCUUACUGUCCAAUUAUAUAUAACCAACAUAAUAAUUUUAGUUGCAACUAUCAAUAGCUUUAAAUAUCCAAACUUGUUAUUAUAUUAAAAAAAAAAGUUUAAUUACCAAACUAACUACUACCAAUUAACAUAACUACCAAAAUAACCAUCAAUUCAUUAAAAAAAAUUCCAUAAAAAUUAAUUUAUCCUUAAAUUGCACACGCACACAUGGGGUGUGCCUUUCGCACUAGUACCUACAAUUAGGCAGCAUCAUCUAUAAAAGAUUUUGGUGCAUGGUAAUCGGAUACACAAAUUUUACAAUUCAGAAGAUGUUCUGUGCCCCACUCCUUUAAAAAGAUGUUGUGUGCACCGAUCAUCACAUCUGCACUCAGGAAAAAGCCGAUUUCAUUUCAUUUUCUUUUUAGGAAAGCAGAUUUCAUAUGAUAUGAUGAACCAUUUCCCGUUGCGGAAUCCUUCUCACAAGGACAAACGCCGCUGGCCAUUGGCACAAAUGCUACAAUUUUGUAUGCUCUUUAUAGGAGGAAUGGAAUUGUUAUACCAAUCAAAUCAUCAUAGCUGUUGCCACGAGGAUCUGCUCUCAUAAUUUGGAUAGCACUUACGUUCAUAUGAUUAGGGGUAAUGAAAAGCUAAAUUAAGAAGAAAUGUUUUUAAAAAAGAGAGAUCCUGCCAUCAUUGAGCGGAGGGAAACUAGGCUUAGCUACGUCGUGUUUGUUUAAUCAGAUUUAACAGGAUGGACACUGGAUUUUUUUCAAUGCUCUGACCAAUCUUGCAGGUUGUAACUUUCUUCCCUAUGCCAAUCCUGAUUUCUUUAGAUUUUCUCCAUGAGAGAAAUACAGAAGCAUGCAAGAGCAAAAACCACAAGAGAGCAAGGGCAUUCUAGAUAACGCAGACGCAGAGAGGACUAAAAGUAAAUAUUGAACACAAACACAGUCGCGUGGAAGAGGAGAUAAAAAUUGGACACUAUAACAUCUCAGAGGAGAUUUUGCAGCGUAGAAAGUGGUGGCGACUGCAAAAGUCAAGAAAAGGACUGCUGCCAGUCUUAUAAUUGUUCAAGCAAGGAGAAUUGUGUCUCCCGCUGUUGAUUGAUUGCACCCAAAAACUCCCUGAACUUACUACUGUUACCACCUUUUCAGCUGAUUACUGACCAUGGACAUGGUUGUGGAUCUCCCUGCAUUCGGGACAAAUUUUGCAGGCCUUCAACAAGAAGAAGCAAUAUGUUUUUAAACCCGGAACAGAGAGUGAUUCGAAAAGCCUUUCUGUUCACGGUUCGAUCAGUUCAUCGGUUCGACUCCAGUUCAAAUAUUUAAUAAAUUUUAUUCAUUUUUGUAUUAAAAUUUUUGAAUAAAACUAAAAUAAAUACUUAAUAAAAAUUGGUUGAACCUUCCAAUUUUUGUCGGUUCAACUGGUUUUUGACCGGUUCAAUCAAUUAUUUGAGUUUUUAAUUGAAUUAGACCGGAGGCAUGACCGGUUUGCGGUUCAAUCGAUCGAACCGUCCGGUCCGAUCCGAUCUUUCAAAACAUUGACAAGAAGAGGAUUGAGAAUUUUUUAUCAAUCAAAAUCAGCACCUUGAGGGGCCAAAUCCUUUUGGAACUGGAAAAAAAAAAAAAGAAAAAGACUAUAAUUAUUGUUUGAACCUCUCAAUUAUCAUUGGUUUUCACUUUGUACUCUAAAUUCUCAAUUUUAACACUUUUAUGCGGGAUGCCAUCAAAGUUGUGAUCCUAUGAAUUUUUUCUUGCUAUUCUUUUAUUGUUAAAACCCCUAAAACUUGCAUGCAUUUACUGAAAUUCUGCGGCUCCUUUUAGGUGCAGUGGGACAUCCUUUUUAUUCAAGCAUAAGUAUCAAAAUUAAUUGAUUCCCAAUCCAUCUAUCUAAGCAGCGUGCUACAGAUUGAUCAUAUGAAGUACUUAUAAUGAAUUUGUGAUUGAACAUUGCUACAACAGAGAUUGGAAAGAUUUCAUCAUUUUUCGAACACAAAUGAUCGCUGAUAUUAGAAGCAAUAGUCCCCAGAAAGAGAAAAAAGCAUACGAAUUGUACGAGAAGUGAUUGGUCCAGUGCUCAACAAACCGUAAGAAUUUGGAUUGUCAGUUUGCUUCAAAAAAAUUUUAUGAUUUUCGUGAACUCAUUUCUUACUCAUCUAUUUAUCUUCCAUACAGCGAAUCGUUACGGUGCAUUAAAAAUAGUAAUUCAAAUGAAUCGUUAUAUUGUCAGCAUUUUUCAAAAUACUAUUGGUAGGCUAAAUUGGUAAGAAUUGUUUUUGUUCUAUUCAAGCAAAAAGAGAACAAAUCUUAUGACUGAUCCAAAUGCUAGAGCUUAGGCUAGGCCGAUCCCCCAAUCACCCAAUUUUACUCUAUCGUGAGACCAGCUCACUGCUGCUCUCAGGAAAUAUGGACAAAGGCCUUCACAGGUUCGUACAUACUAAAACUUCGUACAAUCAACUUUUGUUCGUACAUACCAAAUUAUUUGCUAUUGACAAAGGCCAGGUUCAUACAUGCUAAAACUUACAAGCAUUAGGGCCGGAGGUAGAUGGUACAUCUCAGGAAAUAUGGACAUCGACUAGACCAGACAAACAAAGCCAACCCAUGCUGAGAAAGAAACCACAUAAAAGCUUAAUGGUUGCCUGCUGGGGCCUGUGUAAGAUUCACAUCACACGGUUUCUGUAAAAAAGCUGCACUUUUUUGUUUUCAGGGAAAUUUUCAUGGGAUCCUCUCCUUUUCUUGUUCUUUUUAUGAUUUUGGACCUUUGUGGUUACCUUUGAAGCCUUUUAGGUGGCUGUGAAGUUGAGUUUGGUGGUGCAGCCUAAACGCGUUUCAGAAAUAGUCCUCAAUUGAACUUUAUCUAUUUGGCAGCAAGGAACACGCAUAUAUAUAUAUAUAUAUAUAUCAUUGGGCUCGUUUGGCAAAUAAAUUUUCUUGGCGUUUGUCUAAAAUUUUAUUAUAAUUUACUAUAAAAGUUAUAGGAAAAUUUUUUGAAUAUUUUAAAAUGUAUAGUUCAAAAAUUUUUAAAUUUUUUUAAAGUUACUAUAAUUAAAAUUAUCAAAAAAUUUAUAAUACAUAAAUUUGAUCAAAAAUUUGUUUGCCAAACAGGCUAUUUGAAGCCGAAAUAGUCAUUUUGUAAGCGAGUGGAGAUUUCAGAUUCCAUGUUUGAUUGAUUACACGGAGAAGAGGUAGCCAAUGCAAGAUCAUAUCGUUGUACUAAAAAGCGGACAAAGGUCCGCCUGCUAUUCGACUUGACCCAAAAACAAAUGGAAAGAGCAGAAAAUAAUCUACAGGGCGUUGAAAGUCAUGGAAAUGCUUAAGUAGCAAAUAUCUUUAAAAGAUUUUGGUGCAUGGGUAUCGGACAAACAAGUUUUUCACAGUUCUAGAAGAACUGUCCCAUGCUAUGUUUCGUAGCCGUAAUCAUGUCUGCAUCCAGAAAGCAGAUUUCAUAUUCAACUGCUGAAAUUGAAUGGCAGGAAUGACUUUUCACACGAAGGGAACCGGCGAAACACCCCAGAAAGCGCCGUGGCCAUUGGUACGAAUGCUACAAUUGUAUACUGCUAUUAAUAAUAAUGAAAUUGAACGACCAAUCUGUUCAGUGUAUGCUCUGGCCACCAAGAAUUGCAGGAUAUACUAUCAUAGUUUGGAUGGCAAUUGUGAUGGUAACUGGUAAACUAAGAGGCCGUUUGGAUUGCAUUUUCCGUCAUUUUUCAUGGAAAAAUUACUAUAGCGAUUUGAUGUAUGUGAGGGAAAAAUGUAAUAGGGAAAUGUGAUCACGGAAAAAAACACAAUUUUUCGGCGGAAAACCGCAAUCCAAACAAGGCUUAAAUUAAUCAGAACCCUUUUUUGUUUUUAUUUCCAUUGGAGCAAACAGAUAAAAAGCAUGUGACUGACUUGUGAUUGUGUGCAGUGCUAAAGUGGGGUGUUUUAGUCUUAUUUCUCACCCUGCACGGCCAGUAUUUUUUCUUUUUUGACGGGGGAUUCUGCCGCUGCUAAUCGACAGUGUGCACUAAUUACAUUCCAUCUCGUUCAAUAAUCCGUCAAUCAAUCACUUAACUAGACUUAGCCAGUAUACCAAUCACCUAACUAUGCCUCUACUUAUUCGUGCCGUCAAUGCAAAAGGUUAAAGGGAAUUAUCAUCUGUCUAUUUCUGCAUUGAUUGCUUCACAAUCAUGGUUCAAAGUCGCGGUCGCGGUCGCGGUCGCGGCUCGGAACGUUCCACAUCGGUCUCGGCAUAUCGGUCGCGGUCUCGGUGAGACGCAAAUUUUAAAGUAUUUAAUAUUUUAAAAAUUGUUAAUAAUAUAAAAAAAGUAUGUUAAACAAAAAUAAUAAAAAAUAGCAAAAGAAAUGGCCGAGUCAAUCCGUCACGGUGUAACUCGGCUAAUUUCUCGUCUUGACUCGAGAUAACUCGGAGUGACUCGGCCGAGUCAAUCCGUCGCGGUGACGUCUCGGCCGAUUUCUCGGCGAGUCAAGUAUUUCGGUAUCGUUUCGUCACGGUAUCGUAUCGGUAGGGGUCGAGACGGUGACGACUCGGCCGAGUCGUCUCGGCUUCGGCCGAGACUUCGAACCAUGUUCACAAUCAUUGGUAAACCUCCGAAUCACAUAUGAUUCCAACAUAUUGCAAUGGCGACUUCAAUUCUUUUUUUCUUCUUCUUGAAUCACGACGGCAUUAUUUAUUCGAAAUCGAAUGUUAACGUAUCAUAGACAAUUGAUUAGUCAGUGCACACCCCAAUUCAAUCAACCGACUAACCAAAAACCACUAAUCUACUUUGAAAGGUUAUUUACUUUUAGCAUUCUCUUGGCAAUUUUUCCACGAUAAAACAACUCUGGCUAGACCAAAAUAAACUGCAGAUUCCUACUUCAGUUGUUGGGAAUUAAUGGGCUCUCAGAACAAGAUUAGUCUAAAUCUUCAUUCUUUCUUUUUUCGGUUGUCUUUGUUUGAUAAUGCUGCAUUUAUCCCAUCCUCUACUUACCUUGUCAUUUUGCAAAGGAAAGUAGCUUUUCGUUCCACCAAAUGAAGUAGCAAGGAAUUCAAACUUUCAAUGAACGUGUGUUCACUGUCGCCUGUAUAGUUUAGUGUGGGCAUCCAACAGAAGGGGGAUUUGUGGGAGAAAUCAAUAAUGAGCUGCAAAAGAAAGAAAGUGCCACCGGCUCUGUCAAAAGAAUGUUUGAGUAUGUAUACUAGUAGAUGCUUUGUAUCGGCUAAGUAUGAAUACAUCGUCACUUUCGAUAAUCAUCAAUUGAAAAAGAAUGUACAUAUCGUCAUCCGAAACUCGAAGUCACCCUUCUUGUCUCGGCUGUCUGUCGGUGAAUCUCUGAGUCGGUCUGCAAGUAGCCUAAAAAACAGCACUACUAAUCAGAAGAGUGCCUUGAAUGUAUAUUUGACAAGUGUGGACGUCAAGUUAGACAAACCAGCCAGGCCACCGUUCCAUUUUCCAAACUCAAACCUGAGGCUCAGCUUCUAAAACAAUUCAAAUGGCGGGUAAAAUACAUUAAACCCUCUUAUGGUUUGGUUUGGGUUAUUAUCAUAAACCCUCCUCAUUGUUUAAAAACCCCCGUAUAAAUUCCUUGUGCUUUGGAUUUCUUUGAAAAAUGGAUGAAAAUCAUCUAAAUUGACGGAAAGUGAAUUACACAUGCUUGACAAGCGAGUGUGAUAACAAUACAUCAAGAAUAAUGUGGUAUUUUUACAUUUUCUUUUUUUUUUUCCUUGUUCUUUCUUUUUUUUUUUCUUUCUUUUGAACUAUCUGGAGUAGAAAAACUGAAGAAAAAACUGAAGCAAAAUCAACACCAACCUUUGUUAAUCUUACUUUUAUUUUAUUUCUUCUUUCCUUCUUCUUUUAUUUCUUCCUUUUUUUUAUUUCCCUCCUGGUGCAACUACAAGUAGAAAUCCAAAGCUUCAUUACCUUUGAUAAACCCUCUCAAAUCGAAUUUGAAUUUCUCUCACCAACUCAAAAUCUCCCUUAAACAUACAAUUCACUCGAUUCUUUAAGCCAGAGACACCACCAUCUCAUAGCCUUCAAGUGAUCCCUUUCCCCUUCGUUCUCAUCCACCGUCACCACCAAUUUCGCUUCGCUGCUAUUGCCAUCGGCACUACUGCUUAGAUUUCCUGUUAUGGGUCGCAUCGCCAAGUCCGUCAACGACCACAAGGCCAGUCUAGAUCUCAUUUCGAUAGACAAUAUGCCCAAGCCACUCACUAUUGCAGACGUCUCUCCAACUCCGAUGCAUGGCUUGAAGCUCCAUAUUGCCCACCAAAGUGUUCCCACAACUUUCAGCGAAGCCACUGCCGGCAAAGUUUAUAUGAACAUGUGAAGUGGGUUAUCAGGGGUAAUUCUUAAUGUGUAGACAUUUUUGAUCUAGAGAUUUUCGUGAAGAAAUUUUGUGGGUUUUAGUUGAAUUUUGAUUUCUCAUUCCCCAAAUCUAAUACAAGUUGACUUUAAUUUGAGCGGUUUCUGCUUAAUUUAGUAUUGAGAUUCUUGGCAUUGAUAUUAAUUUGAUCUGAUCCAUUUUAGUAUGAAGGAAGAAAAGAAAAGGAAAAGGAAGAAAAAUGCAAAAAAAAAAAAAGAGGCCUGGUAUAAAUGAUUGAUGAUUGAACCUAGAGAUGAUGACAAUGGAAAAGGUAUCAGUGUUUGCAACAUGAAAGGCAAGUUAGAGAAGAUGACUGUUUGGAAAAGAUCAAAUCUUUUUAAAAUUUCAAUUUAUCCCCUUAAUUUACUUUUUGUUCUCAAAUGAAUUAAAAAAUUUAGUAAAAUAACAGCUAAAUCCUAAAUUAACUAUUGGUACAUUUUGAAAACGGGGUUAGCAUUGAAAUUUUACGUCUUUCCGUCAAUUUGGAUGAUUUCCAUCCAUUUUCCAAAGAAGUUCAAAGCAUAAGGAGUUUAUAUGGGGGUUUUUAAACAAUGAGGAAAUUUUACGACAAUAACCCAAAUUACAAGGGGGUUUAAUGUAUUUUACCUUUCAAAUGGCAUCAAGAAAUUUUCCCCAAUGUUUUAAAAAUCAGACUGUUAUUUGAACCAGUGAAGUGAAAAGGUCGAGAUUCAAUCGGUCGGAUUGGUUCAACCCCGGUUCAAUAAAUUUUUAAAAAAUAAUUUAUUUAAAUAUAUAUGCACAAAAUAAGACAUGUAAUUGGCUAAUUUAAUACUUUAUAUGAUGAAAAGUUUACUAUUUUUUAAUAAUUUGGAUUUUUAAAAAUAAAUUUUUUAAAUUAUAAGUUAAAACAAAUAAAUUUCAUCUCAAUUUCAAUUAUAUCUAAAUCCAACAAAAAAAUCACAAUAUUUUGAAAUUAUACAAAAUUCACGUCUAUAAGAAUUUAAAUAUUGUAAACUUAAAUUUUAAUUUACGUUUUGGGAUUUAGAGAUUGCAAUUUAAAAAAAAAUUUUGGAGUUCGAAGGAAAUCAAGAAAAUCGAAAAUAGAAAUAUAAACUUGAUAAGAAAUAAAAAAUGAGACAAAAGUGAGUGGUUGUGACAUUAAAUAAUUUGGGUUAAAGAAAAAUAAAUUUUUUUAACUUCUUUUAAUUUAAUGGACAAAAACAAAAUUAAAAGAUAGAAGAAAAUAUCAAUAAAUUAAAAAUAAAGAUGUUUGAUUAAAAAGAGAGUAACAAAAGAAACGAGGAUAGAGAAAGAGAGAGAGAGAGAGUUGAAAAUUAAAAAGAAAGAGCCAUGAAAAGAUGAGAUAUUGUAAGAAAAAUGGAAAAAAAUAUGAAUGUUUCUUUUAUAUAAAUAAGGUAUCAAAAAAAACUAAUAAGAUGUGAUGGUGCAACGGUUAAUACAUUGGUCUUUUAUUACAAAGGUCUUGAGUUCAAAUCUUGAUAGCUGUAUUUUGCAAAACUUAAAAAAAAGGGGGAGGAAGUUGAAAACCGAAAACCACCGGUUCAAUCCGGUUCGUGAUUUUUACAGUUUGAUCGAUUUCUGACCGAUUUUCUGACAAAAUCAACUAUGCCAUAGAACCGGACCGGUGCCAUGGCCGAUUCGCGGUUCAACCAGUCAGUCUGGUCCGAUUUUCAAAACAUUGAUUUCCCCAAUUUAAACCCAAUUCAUUUUGCAUCUACGGAUAGUUCGACUGGUUCCGUAACCUGAUAGUGACCAGCAGGUUCCAUUAUUGAUUCCCUGUGCUAUUUCUCUGUGUAUCAUUUGGAUAAGGCCCUAUACAAUUUUAGCGGAUUAGUCUGAUCGAAAAAUUGGGUUACUUCUAAAUAAAAAAAAAAUAAAUAAAAUCAAUUCAUUUUACAUUUAGCACAUCACAACUCAAAAUAAUUUAUCUAAUUCCCUCUCUGCUCCGUAAUACAAAAGGUUAAAGACGCAUCGUUGCCCAUAAAUGCCAAAGAAUUCCUUACUUAACAAUAAUGAAAAGAACGUAGAGAAUUUAAAAGAAUAAUAAUGUACAAAGCUAGCGACUAUUGCAAAAAUUGAUAAGAUAAGUUUUUUUUUUUAAUUUAGACAUUCUCCAUUAGCGACUACUCGAGCUCGCGUUGUUUAGAGAUGCUCACGAGCUUAACAAUUAGCGCCAUUAAAGCAGUAAGCAAAAAACGGGAGUGGUGCCAAUGGCAGUGGUAUUGGUAGUGCAUUAGACUUGAAUGGGACCUGUGACAACUGCGUUUGCAGGAAAUGCAGGCCCCUCUCUUUCGGAAAAUGUUACGAAGGAAAAAUCAAAAUUUUCCAUUCCUGAUAUCAUUGGCAGAGCAAAGCGAACCCAUUCUUUUUACCGCCAUUCCUUAAUUAUUAAGCGGCCUGCUUUUUCAUAAGUACCCAAUAAAUAACUUACGGGGAACAAGUCAGUACGUGGGUCCCCGGAUGUGACCUCCCGCGCAUAUCUCCUUUCCUUUCAGCCGUCCGAUGAAAACGAGCUCUUCUUCGCCUCUUUUUUUUUCUCUCUCCGACGCUGUUACUAGUUAUUAUUAAAAAAAAAAAAAAAAAAAGAUCAAAAUACACACAAACAGCAGCACAAGUGAGCUCCAGCCCAAAAUCCCAGAACUGUACUCUUUUUAGCUCCCCCUGCUUUUCUCCUUUUCUUUUUCCUUUUGGGUGUACGUUCGAUUCUGUAUAUUCUCAUAGUAUUUAGCUUUGGAGUUUGGGGAAAGCUGAGAGCAAAAAGGCAUUUUGGGAUGCUACAAAAGAUUUAUAUUCUGCUUAGUUUCUGCGUAAAGCUCCUCCCAUCUUUUUGAUCUUUUUGGGUGGAGCUUAUUUUGCUUUUUACUGCUUUUAAUUUCACACCCACUUAUUUCCAUGGGGGGUCACCGACGUGGUUUUUAUCUCUGCAUCUUCAGAGAGCUUCAUGGCUUUUUCUUGCUCUCCAUUCUGCUAAAUAAGCAAGGCAAGUUAGUACUAUUUCUUUUCUUUUUUGGGUCUAAUCUGGCUUGGUGGAUUGCUGAUAUGCUUCUUUGUUUCGUGAUGAAAUGAUUUGCAUUCUUGUUGUGUUCGCGAAAUUCCUUUGGAAAUACUCUUUCUGAAAUUUGUAGCUGACUCUCGAGACGCAAUUUAUCUCCAAGAUCUCUGUUUUGAAUACAAAAUUUUUGCUUUUUUGGUUGUUCAAACUUGUUAUUUGAGUUUGCAUUUGGGUUUGUUCCUCUCACAGACAGGGAAGCUGUAAGAAAUUUUUCGUUUCGAAAGUUCUUUUUGUUCCUAAAGAGCUACUCCAUUUAACCUAUCGCGCGAAUGGUAGAACUUGGAAACAAAUGAGAAGAAGAGCAAAAGAAAGAUAGAGAAAAUAAUUUUGUGGAAGGGGAAGAAGUGCUUAAAGGUCUUUCCCCACUCUACAGUUUCUUUCCUUCUUAUUCAACUAUGUCCCAAUAAAUAAAUCAAUUUAUUGGUCAAUUAUUGUCAAUAAUGUUUCUCAGCUUACAUUCAAUUAUUAUGUCCCAAAAAAAAAAAAAAAUUUUGAAUGUCGAUUUCAAAUUUUAAAGAAGUGCGAAUGCUUUGUGGUUAGUGGUUAUGCAAUAGCUGUUCUUCCUUGUCUUUUGCAAUGUUUUCUGCUUUUGACGAUGACAUCCCAGUUUACCUUAUCUUCAACUGUCACUCUUAUGGGCCUCAAGGACCACCCAAUCUUCGCUUUCAAAUUGAUCUAUGGUGCACGUUUGUCUAUAUGUUGCCCAGAUUGUCCUUAUGCACCCUGUGAACCAUUCUUUUUCCUAAUCAUACUCUUAUUUGCAUCAAAGUGGGAUUAAAUUGGUUCUGCAUAAGUUGUCAUAUGCAUGUCGGAUUGUGUUACCAUGAAGUAGGAGAUGCUUGACUGUUUUAUACUACAGAAGUUGUCAGUCUUAAAGGGUAAGUGGUCUUAGAGCCAUGUUCAUUAUUAUGCUUCCGGAGAGAAGUGCCAAGAAUUUCUUUGUAGCACUUCGGUUCAGAAUAAAGUUACAAACGGCCAAGCUGCUUAAGUUAUAAUCCUGUUCCUAGAAUUGGAUCAGUGGGUUCUCCUAGUGAAACUGCGAUACCUUUUUCCUUCAAUAGAGAAAAUAGAUUGAAGUAUAGAAGCACACUUGAUCUGAGCCCUCUCUUAUUAUCAUUGUUUUUUUUAUAGCUUCCAUUCAGUUGUUAUUUCUAAUUUAUUUGACGAUUUCUGGUUUAAGUUAGUUCUAGUAGUAAAAAAUUAACGAGUUCAAUUCACAAUCACAUCAUGUAUCACAAAACUUCUCAUCCUUAAUUAUUUGUACCUCCAACUUUAUUGUUGAGAUUGUUCUGUACUGCCUUUCAUCCCAUGACUGCAAACUCUGGAGAACUUCCUUGGACGAUUUUAGAUCUUCUCAAAAUUUCCCACUAUUUGUCUAUAGAAGGACUUGUAACAUUUCCAUCUCUAGCUGUAUAUAUCGUGGGCCAGCUCUCUCCGAUUACAAUGAGCCUUUCUCCUCUAUUAGGUCCAUUUAGCAAAUAACAUUGACAGGUACGUGCAGGAGACACUAAUAUAAUGUGAUUGUUGAACUGAAUAUGCAAGCCAUAAGAUGGUUAAUUUCAUGCUAUUGGCUUGUUGCUUCUUACCAUAUAACACAGAAAGCUUCGCUAGGUCCCCUUGAUUAUGGCCUCUUUUGCCUCUUUACUGCUCUGAGAUAAUACUACUUGUCAUCUUCUGGAAAUCAUGUAUGUCUUUCAGACAACUGCAUCAUCUCUAUACGUACUAUCCAAGCUCACUACAUUUAUGGCCUGUCUUUUUGAUAGGUACCAUUUCCAUGUGAGAUCUAUCAGCUGGCUAACCAAAUUUCCAGAGCCAAGUUGGUUAAUUGCGAGAUAUCUGGUGCCAAGGGCAGUAUGGAAUGUCAUUUGGAGCUCAAUAGAAACUUGAGGGACCAGGAACUCUUGCAGGUGGUCUACAGUCAAUCAUCACACCAAACAUGCCAAAGUACAAAACUGGGAGAUAGGUUCAAACUAGACAGGAAUGGCAACUCUUCUGCAGAUUUUCAUCCUAAAAUAGUGAGAAAUUUGGACAAUGUAUCACAAAAGCCACGAGCACUUCACCGAAAGCAACGAGCUAGGAGUAAGGCAGAUGAACUUGUUAGAUACAUGUCAAGUUUGCCAAGUUAUUUGGAGGCAGGAGAAAACCUCCAGGAGAAAGCUUUGAAUGUUGGGGUCCUUGAAUGGCGCCGUCUAGAGAAGUGGCAGUAUAACCACAGACAGGUUGCCGAACGAAGUUCCAAGUCUUCGCCAUCCAACAGCAAUGCCUCAUUGUUUUCCUCAACAGAGGGAUCAUCCUCCAAUUCUGGCAGAGGUCAUAGCUGCUCUCCUAUCAACCAGAUGAUGCACCGCCCUAGUCUGGAUUCUAAUCGAAACACAUCUCCUAACAGAGUCUCCUCCCCCUCCCUAGGCACCAAAUCCUUCCAGAGAAAUGGUGGAAAGUUCCAAGAUCUUGGAGCUAGCUCGAGUAACUACUUGAAAGUGUCACAGAGUAUCCUCAGCACACAUCAGUGUUUUAGCAAGUACACGGAGAACCAGGGUAAAGAGUGCAAAACCCCAGAUCAUGAUCCGGUAGGUAUUUUUGAGAAGGAGCUACAAGAACUAGAAAAGCAUAGUUCCAUCUCAAAUUUGAAUGGAAAACUGAAGUUCCAUGUCCAUGAACAUUCGAAGGAAAAGGAAAGCUUGCAAAUUCCUUGUUGUAAGCCUAAUUCUGUUCAUGACAGCAUGAAUGGACAGCCACUAGUGGUACUCCAUCAGCCAAAAGAAGUACUAGAAAUUAGAUCUGCUACAUCGUUGAAUCAAUCUGAUUCAACAGGAAAACUGGCCCAGGGAUCAAUCGAAGCUAGUCGACAUAGCUUUUCUGAUAAUUCUAAUUCUGAUGUCCAUGAGCUCUCUUCUGAUAUACCUCGCUCUUGUCCACUUCCUCGUGAAGUUAUUACCCCAAGGGAUGCGCAGAUCCAACAACCCUGUUCCGCAGCUGAAAGCACUACGAGGUUUUCCUCUGACGUAUUACCAUAUUCUAAAGUCUCAGCUAGUCUGAGCAGAAGUAGAAAUCUGGAAGGGAAGAAGUCAACCAGAACACUUGAUUGUUCAGCUGAGGCACCAAACCUGAAAAUGGAGACUGAAGAGGAUAGGAAAGUCAGACAUCCUUCCCCAAUCCGCCGAUUAAUGGGUAGGAUAGGCAGGAGCUCAAAAGACACACCAUGUGCUCUACAGAGAAAUCUUGAGACUGAUAGAAUUUGCUCCAAGGAGGCUGAAACCUCCGUUUCCUCAGUUGAUUCAUCUUGCGACAAAUCAAAUGUCACUGGAAAAGGAAGGUCCAGUCCUUUGAGAAGACUGAUAGACCCAUUACUUAAGCCCAGGGCCAGCAACCUUGACCACUCUUUUGGUUCACCACAGAGAGAUUCCUCACCAAUAGACAGGGCGGGUAAAUUAUCCAAGGGGCGAGGAGAGUCUGCUGCUCGACAUUCUUUGAAAGUGAGGUUAGAUCUUGGGAGCUGCAAAACAAUUGACAUUGAUCAUCCACAAGACAUUGGAAAAUGUGGCUCAUCAACAGUACAAGCGCUUCUGCAGGUAGCAGUAAAGAAUGGGCUCCCUCUAUUUACAUUUGCAGUUGAUAAUAGUAGCGAAAUUUUAGCAGCCACAAUGAGUAAGCUAGGUCCUGGUAAAAAGGAUGCUAACAGUUGGGUGUAUACUUUCUUCACUGUUCAUGAAAUGAAGAAAAGGAAUGGUAGUUGGUUAAACCAGGGAAGUAAAGAUAGAGCUCAUGGUUACGUACCUAAUGUAGUAGCACAAAUGAAGGUUUCUGAUGUUGCAUCCACAAAGUUGAUUGGGCAAAACUUGGUGGACCAAUGUACCGUUAGGGAAUUCGUUUUGCUUGCUGCGAAGAAAAGACGGGGAGAUAGGCAGGCGUUAGAUGUACAGGCAAAUGACGAACUCACUGCUAUUGUUCUUAAUUUACCUAAAAUGGCCGUAAGAAACUUAAGUGAAGGUGACCAGAGAACAUGUGAAGUUGAAAAGCUUUCAAUGGUGGACUUGAAAGUGCCUUCCCUUGACUUUUGCAGAUUUUCUGAGAGUAGGGAUGUUGAAGAGAGCGGGUGUUUUGCUGGAAGCGUGGACCCUUCCGGUCUUACAGUUGUACUUCCGGGUGGUGACCAUGGAAUACCUAGUAAAGGGGAACCUUCACCUUUAAUAGAAAGAUGGAGAUCAGGUGGAUCGUGUGACUGUGGGGGUUGGGAUGUUGGUUGCAGAAUAAAGGUUCUUAGCACUCAGUUUGGUGUGACGUCUGGUUCAGCUAAAGCCCAGUCGAGCACCAAAAAAUUCCAGCUUUAUUGCCAGGUAGUUUAAUACAUGCUGCUAGUCGACCUCAUUUGGUUCAUCUUUUAGCUUUUGUCUUUUCAUUUUCUUGCUAUUGAUACACAUCAUACUGCAAUGUGGUCUUGCCUUCUAAUUCGUUUCUACAAACUUUCAUCAGGAACGAGGACUGGACGAAAGGCCAAUUUUCAGCUUGUCACCGUUCAAGGAUGGUAUCUAUUCAGUUGAAUUUGACUCAUCUGUCAAAUUUCUACAAGCAUUCUCCAUAUGUAUUGCAUAUCUAAAUGGUUUCCAGCCAGCUAAAUUUUCUGAAUUCGGGUAUUUAUCUGAGAAUAAAUCUUCGGAAGAGAGGACAUUCUCAGAAACUGAUGAGCCAAAGGUUUUCAACGGGGACCAACAAGAGUAUCCUGCAAGCAACAUCUACCAUCCUCCUGUUUCACCUGUUGGGAGAGUCUAGCUUGCUAGAACGUUCAUCAAUUUGAACUUGGCAAUGCAAUUCAGAUUGUAAAGUUUUGUCAUUGUGACUAAGCAACAAUAAGGGUUUAUUCAUUAAACUGGAAGGUUCAGCCUGAAGGUACACCCCUAGUGUUACAGGAGGAAAGAAUGAUGCCAACAACAGUUGUAUUUGUGUUACUGGGGCAUCAAAAAAGGCAUUGUCAUGCGUCCCUUUCUACUCGAUGCAAGUGUGCAUAUUGCUGUUGCUAAUUGAACUUCGUCUUGUGCAGUGUCUUUGAGUUCUUGAGUUACAGAUGGAAUCUUGGUCCUUGAUGAACCUAUUUAGACAAGUAAGCUCGCAUAUGAACUAAGCUUAGGAUUAGUUGCCUUGAUAUGGGCUGCGUGUGCCCUUCCAACUCCAGAUUUUCAACAAAGUAAAGCAUUUGGAUUAUUUUCAACAAUGUAGCAAGAUCACAAUUUUUAUUUGGAUUAAUUUUUUUUUGUCCAACUACAUCGGUUGCAUUCUCCUUUCUUGGUAAAUAUUGGGUAGAGGACAAAGGAAGAAUAAAAGAUUUAAGCGAUAGGAUAUGGUUGGCAAUAAAUUUGCUCAUGUAUCAUUUGGGAAGGGCAGGCAUAGAAUUGGGGAAUCAUGAGGGUGCCUGUCCGGGGUUCUGCAGCCUGUUCAUUCAGGAUAAAUGCAUAACCAAAAAAGCCUUAUGCAGUAUUACGAUUCAGGACGCAUACAUUUUAUUUAUCUCAUGGAGUGACUCCUUAGAAAAGUAUACUUCCCCCUCUGGUUUACGAAGUACCAUGAUUUGCAAGAAAUUUGCUUCUCUCUGCCACAUUCUCUGUUCUUAGUGUCCUGGCAUGAAUCUAGGAGUUAAACAAUGAAUUCGCCAUUUUACUCAUGAUGAGGACGAAAAAAGUCCGUUCAUCCAUCAGUAACAGCAAAAUAAGUAGGGUCUUAUUACAAAAUGGGGGAAAAAAAGAAAGACUUUUUGCUGAAAAUUGUUUAUGUGCACUUUGGUAGUAUUUAGGAUACAUGGAGAGGCAAAGUCUAGUGGACAUUAUGAGCUCAUGGUACAGUUUCUUCUCUAAUCCGCCACCCGCACAUAGUUUACCUAUUUUAACUGCUAUAUUAAAUGUUAAAGACCAGUUUAUGUAUUUUGUUGUCUUCGCGAGAAUUAAGUAUUGAUCUAAUAGAAAGCAACCUUUUUCUUUAAGUCCUGCAGUCCUAUGAAAAUGAAAAUUGUUCUAAAAUUGUGAUAUGUCUACAGUCUCUGACAAUUGAUUCUUAGUUUGUGAAGUUGUUGCAAGCCAGUAGUAUUCCUUGCAGAUUCAAGUUCUUACUCUUACUCAACGACGUAUUUGUGUUUGUAAGGUCCACGGUUGCAAUACCUCGUUACAUUUGAAAGGAAAUUAAGCAGAAAAGUACUAGUGAAACAUAGAAAAUAUCAAAAAAAGUAGAGUCAUGUCGAGUCAGAAUCAAACUCGAGUGUUAACUUGCUUGAAUUCGGACAUACUGAGUUUGUUUGGAUGAGAAUUUAUUUGGAUGAUUUAUUUGAUCUAGUUACCGUAGCACUUUUCGUGAUGUGAUAUAUGCGAGAUAAAAAAAUGAUUGAGAAUUGUGUGUAUGAUGCAAGUAAAAUAAAAUCUGAAAUUUUUAUUCCAAAUUCUUGUUGUCCAAACAAACUCAGACUUUACUGACAUGCUCAAUCUCGAAUCAGCAUUCCAAGCUAGGCUCGAGUUCGGCUCUUUGAACUUCUUUUCGUCCAGCUCCAGAGUUUUGAAAUAUGCGAUUGUUAAAUAUUAUAACAUAUAAACCUAAAAUAGUAAUUUGAAAAUAAUGACAUAAUAAUUAAUUAUUCAAUGAAAAACUCGAUUGAAUUUAUCGAGCCCUCGAGUCUCCUAAAUUUGUAUUCAAAUUUGAUUCGAAAUCCGAAUCAAAUAACUCGAACUCGAUUCGUGUUUGAUGGACAUCGACAUCGAUUCAAACAAUUGGACGUCGAGUCAAGGGUGCUCGAUUCAUAGCUUACCGUCAAACAUUUUGAGGAUGGAAGUUUGAAAAAGGGAAUUCCUUAUUCGAUCAAAUCGUCGACACUUUUCCCCAUCGUGCCUCGGGUGAAUCAUAAUUGAUGGGUGGAUGCUAAUUGGGGAAAGAAGAGCCGCUGGGUGGGGACCAUAACCUGUAGCCAUUCAUAAUCUCAGAUGAUGGGUUCACAACGCACAGCCAGAAGCAUGUAGUAGCAGUAGUCGUUAGCAUUAAGGAUUGUUCUGCUCCUUAAUUUAAUGUGGAAAGUUUUUUAAAAGGUGAGCACGUGACGGGCCAUAAAGGCAGCGGCGCUGUCAUGUGACCUAAUCAUGCAAUUAAAUAAUGCUUCGACUUGCUGGUCCCCUCCUCCCGCUCCCGUCCAUGUCUCCUGGAUCUUCCAAAAUAAAAUUUUAUUUAUUGUGUGGUAGUAGAAUACUAGAAUCAAGAAGAAUGCAAGACGGAGUCUUGAGCAUGAACGAGGCUCCUAUAAAUACUUGGGUAAAUUGCAGGGUCAUCCCUUACUAGCUUUUUGAAGUUAGGCAUCAUAUUUUAGUUGACUAAAAUCUUAUAUAUACACUCAUAAUAUAUAUACUGUCACCGUUUGAUGCUUGACAUAUGUAUAAAAGUUGAAUUUCAAGUUCAAAUUUUAUAUAGUUAUCAUUCACCCAAUACUGACAGUUUAUAAACAGUAUAUGCACUAUCGACGUAGGAAAGAUUAAUCCAUCUUAGUUUGUGUUAAAUUUUUUGUUUACUGACAAUGUAGCGUGUUUAUAUACAUUAAUUCGAAUGCAAAUUUCAAUUUUGCACACGGCGCGUCUGUACUCGUUAGCAAAAGAACUCUCAGAUAUGGUAAACGAAAAAAAAUUAAUCAUUUUAGUUUCGAUAACAUCCACUUUUAGAGGAAUUUAGAUUUGAAAGUAGGUCGUUUGCAUGCUGACCAUGUAUGGGUGAGGUAGAGGACCUGUAAUCAUGAUAAAUUUUGGGAGAUUUCCUGCAUUAUAUAUACCUUCGUAAAAUUCUUUUCCUACCACUCUCAUUUCUUUCUUGUACUAAUAUAUUCUUCAACUGCAAUCCGAAGACCCGAAGCUCGACAUAUCACAUUCAUCGGUGACAACAUCUUUCGCACCACUGGGGCUGCUUCUGCAUGCAGUUGGCUUCCUAUCCACCAGUCAACCAGAUGAGAUAAUGGAUUCAUUCCUUUUUGCUUCGCCUUUAGCUUAAUGCCACAAAUUUUUGUCAUUUCAUUAGCUUAAAAAUUGACAUUUCCUCCGCCAGCCUAGCUAAAUCACUAACCCCAGCUGAAAUUCAAUCGAGAGAGUGGAUAUGAUCAUGAUUGCAUGUACAAUACUCAUUUCUUCGAUCAUCAUCAGCACUAAUAAUUCCGGAUUUGACUCCCACGUGUGCUUCUAGCUGAGUUUGCAUCAAAGGCCAAAACGAAUCAUCGGCAUAUAUAGCUGGAUUUUGCUCCAUACCUUGACUGCAAUUGAUGUUUUACCGGUUCUAUGAGCUCAUGUGACCUGACAAAUGCGAUUUAGGAAUCAGUUUCAUAAUUUUCAUCAACAAUUGAUGUUGCAGGUGAAAAGUUGAGGAGCGUAAAAAUUCAUAAAAAGUCCCAUUUAGAUUGCAAGCUUUUCAAGAAGAAAUUUUAGAGGGUUGGUUCUCUUGACACAGAUCUCAAGCUUCUUUCUAUCUCACAUAGAUUACAUUUGCUACGGUAUAUUUUCCAAACAGGCAGCAUUAUGUUCUACUUUUAGCUUUUUCGUAUGAAGUUCAGAGAAUAGAAUAUUAUAUCAUCAGAUAACAAGGAGCCGCUGCGGUUCAUGUUCCCACAUUUGAGAAUGGAUGGACAACUUUGACGUAGUAAACAACUUCCUGGGCCCUUCCAAUGCUUAAAUAAGCAUUUUUAGCCACUAAAAUCUGAGCAAAAUACCAUCCUUUCUGUAUCCCUUUCUUUCGUUCCAUCAAAGCAAACUUAGACGAAUGAAAAAGGGUUUCGUUUCAUGACGACGCAUCUACCAGCUCGGCACUGCCUGCCUGGUCCGGGCAAGUGUUUUCAAGGAUGGUGACAGCAAGUUUGAGGAUCCUGUACAUGGGGUGCGAUGCAUUUCAUGAUGGCUAUUAGGCCCCAUGCAUUAGCAGUUUAUUCAUUCUAAAUCAGUGGAUUGAUGUUGAUAAAGAGCAACGACCUGCUAGCACACUUGAGCUGGAAACGAAAAAAUAAUAAUAAUAAUGAUAAUAAAAAGCGGGUCAAAGCAAGUGAUGACCCCAAAUUUGGGGCGUUUGCCUUUCUGCAUCAUUGAGGGAAUGCUGUAUUCAUUUUUAGUACUUGUGGACCUUCCUGAUAAAAAAAAAAGGAGUCCUUUUUUCACUCCAGAUAUUAUGAUUUUGUCCACACAAAUUAGGCAGUGGUACCAUUUCAGCUGAAACUUACUUUUCAGAAUUCUUGUCCUUUUAAUUAAUCAAUAGUUGUUCCACGAGCAUGUGCGAUUUUAUCUUCUUGUAAUGAAGAAACGAGUCUAAAUAGACAAGAUUUGUUAUGGAAAGUGCUGUGAAAGGAGUACUAAAUAGGGAUGGUGAUUGAGAAUAUGCAGCGAAAGGAGUUAAUCUUCAUGAUUCUGGCGUUGUACAUUUUAUUCACCUAGAUUUCUUUCUUAUAUUUGUGCAUCUUAAACCAUUCAAGGUGGUUUAGAAGUGUCGGGAGAGAAACACUUCUAGAAAGUCUAUCAAAGAACUCAAUAUGUAAGUCAGGAAAUCAACUCUGAUCCAAAAAAUUAAACUAUGAGGUCUCGAUCCCUUACUUACAUAUUAACCUCUCUUUAUUCAUUUCUCGAACCAAUAUGAAAUAUAAUCCUUUACUCUGUGAGUCUAAUAAAAAGAAAGUGUGGAAGUUAAAUCAUAAAUGGAGCCUCGGCUGUAAGUAAUUCAAUGAACAUCAACAAUUGCUAUACUUUUCAAAAGUGUGGAGGGCACAAAUCAUCCAAGUUAAACUACUGUUUUGACUCAAUGAUUGAGGCCAUAAUUAAUACAAUUGGUAUUUCAAGUACUCCUAUUCGAAACCAAUAAUUUCAUUACAUCAAUUUUCCGUUCAUUGAUGAAGAAUUCUACCCCGACAUUGACCAUGCCCGUUGUUUGAAAACAACUUUAAGCUGACUAAGAGUCCCUUUAAAUUCUUGUCAAGUUCUAUCCAUUUGUUUUCAACCUUUAUCAAGUUCCAUCCAUCUUGAGGACAUCAUCUUCUUUUCUAUUAUCAUCAAUUUUCAAAACUACACAACUUUUGAACUUUAAAGUGCUAAAAAGUUCUUCAAAAGAUUCAAAAUGGAAUUUAUAACAGAAUUUUCAAACUCAAAAUGUUACUACGAAGUGUAGAUGUUCUCCAAGUUAAGUUGUUUAUUUUAUUUUGGUAAAAUAAGUUGAAUGACAGGAAAAAUAAAAAAAGGAAAUCCCAAAUCCUAGACAGUGUUACACAUUAACCGUUGAACUAAUCAACGAGGUUGGCCUGAUGGUUGGAGGGAGGAUUCUCAGACUUCUCCUAGAUUCUUAAAAUUAUCCCUAUUGUCAUAUUUAAAAUUCGAAUCACGAGUUUGAAAGUUUGGGGUGGAAAGGUUAACAAAAAAAAUUGUUAAAAAAAGAUUAACCAUUUGCUAAUGAUGUUUACUCGGAGCAAGGAAUGGUGGAAUUGUUGGAGUGGAAAGGCAUUUUCAAGUGCAUUUGACGUGACUAGGACUGCAAUUAGAGCAGGGUUUACUAUUUAAAUCGUCAUCCUUAAGUGCGAGCGCACCUAAAUUAGUCGUAAUUCUCCACUCUGACUUCCUGAGUUUGACCGGACGCCUCACUUAAUCAUCCGACUCCCUUUCAAUCUUCCGAUGAUUAUAUCUAAAUCUAGUGCAAUUAAAGCCUAAUCUUAGAUGUCAAAAGAGAAAAGUUGACCAGAUAACCAUUAAACCAAGCACACACUGUACCAUAUGUAGACUCGCACGUGACGACGGACACUAGACUGUAUCUUGAAAGGUUUUUUGGAUAAUAUCAGAAAACUCUGCUGAGGUUUCUCUUAAUGUUAUCUAACACCCCUAAAAUCUUACAAAUAUCACAUAUCUCCCUUACUUUUAUUAUUUGUAUAACAAAAUUUUGAAAAACUAUAAACCACUCUUUUGCUUGUUAAAAAAAAAUGCUCCAAAGUCACUUUAUUCACUCCAAAGAAACUGUUAUCUAAAAAAAAAUCUCUAGUAGUACUACCACAUCAUAAUUUUAUAGUCCAUAAAAGUAUAAAUUUGAAAAACAAAAAAGAUAUUUUCAAAGAAAUACACUAGCACUAAUUUAAGUCUAUAUGAUCAAAAUCGAUUUUUUAUGCAUAUUGUAUUUUUUUCCCCAAUUUCUUCUCAACUCAUGUCAAAACCUUUAAAUUGUACUAAUCAUUAUAAAAAUUAACUCAAAAUAAAUAAAGAAAUCAUACCCCACUCUAUCACAAUCACAAAUGUAAAAAAUAAACAAAAUUUAAUUUACUAUAAUUUACAAAUAAAAAAUUGCAUAGUCAUCCAAAAAAAUUAGUAAGAGAGAAUUGAAGAAAGGAGAAAGAGAAUGAAGUGACUUUUAUUUUUUCUUAAUUUUUUGACCUUUAUUUAUUUGAUGUGUGAAUUAUGUAUCAAGUAAUGGUUAAUUUUUUUUUUUUUGACAAUUACUAGAGAAGGUAAGUGAUAUUUUAAAAAUGUCAAAGUGCCAAUUGAUAUGAGGAGAAACCUUGAGGAGGUUUCUAAUAUUAUCCCAAUCUUUUUAGCACACUUGCAGGGCCGUGUUUUACAACUUACAUGACCAACAUGGUACUAGUCGAUUUUGUUUCCCCUUUUCGGUGAAAUUUCUAUUCCACAUUCUGAAUAGAUUUUAUCAUUUUCCCUUAAAAUUUCUUUCCAUUUUUUACCAUUACUUUUCUUUUAUUUUUUUAAUUCAAAUACAGUUAAGCAUGAAGCUUGCUUGAAGAAUAGAGUAGUAGACAUUGACAAUGGCUUUAGUAUUGAUUAAUUUGAAGCCACUAAAUUGCCAAUACUUUGAACAAAAUUACCAAAAUUUGAAGCAAGAAUCUCACAUUUUUUAUUUUAUUUUUUUGUAUCCAAAGGAGAUUUCAAGCCUUACAAGGAGGAAAGGAAAAAUGGGAUGAAUUGAAAGUCAUGUGUUCACUUGACUAAUAUCCUACCAGUUGAGUUGGGUCUUAAGGAUAAUGAAGUAAAAGUUUCCCAUCUCACCUGAUUUUAGGAAACAAUUAGAUGAAUUUUAUUAAGCAAUACCCCUUUUUUUCCUAUAUUGAUGUCUUGUAUCAGGUGAUUUUCUUUAUAUUUCUUGGCAAGACUUUCCAUACUCAAAAGAUUACUUUACUUUUAAAAAAGAAACUCAAAAAGACAAUCAUACCCUUUUGCAAAUUUAUGUACGAGCUUUGGUUAGAGGCUUAGAGCUAAAUUACAAGGACUUGCAACUAUUAAGAGAUUCCUUUUUUAUAAUUAAAAAAGAGAUUCUUUAUUCUACUUUGAGCUAUAUUUCCGUUGUCAUUUUCAAUAAAAUGAUAUUCCAUAUUCAUAGUUAAUAAGUCACAGCGAAUAUCGACGUUGCGUAACAUUUUGUAUUAUCUAUCCUAUUGAAUUUGGUGUAAGUGAAAAAAACUUGCAUUCAUCAAUCAUAUGAGAUCUUAUAUUUGAAAUUCAUGUAAAUAGAAAAUAUAAUGUUGAAAAAGUCUUUUCUGCGAGAAAUUCGACUAGACUUUAAUAAGAUUAAUCGUAGAAUGUGAAAUGGAUGCAUGCAUAGCCUCGUGGUUUAUACCAAAAAAAAAAAAAAUUGUACUAUCUAUAAACAUUCUUUUUUUUUUUUGUCAGCAACAAUAUAUUUAUAUAACUCAUGCUCCAUGGACAUUCAAUACGGCAUGAAAAGAUAAACAAAUACUAGAAUGGCACGUCAACGUAAAAUCAUUCCUAGUAGGAGCAGUGCACUGUACACAGUAUACAUGUUUCUCGAGGGUACUGUACACAGUAUUCGAAAAACCCUUUUGUUUUUCCCCCUCCCUGCCAUGAAAUAGAACAAAUAGAAUAAUGAUUAAAUGCUAGUACUAAUCAAAAUAAAAGAGAUUUUGCAUUUUCAACUUGGGUGGCUCUCUCUCUCUCUCUCCCCCUCUCGUUGCCUUGGCUUUAGAGGUACCAUUUUACCAUUGACCACCUGAAAUGAAUCAAUUCAAGGCUCUCCAGCUCCUCUUCGGUCAUCCCCCAUUAUUAUAAGAACACCAAACCAAAACGAAAACCAUCUCCCCACCGCCUACUCCACCUCCAUCUGAACUUCCAUCACCAUCAUCCCAUUCCUUCGCCUUCACCCUGUACUAGUUCAAGAGAAGAGUGAAAGAGAGAGGGGAGAGGUGGGUUUCAGACAAUCAAGCAGGUUCCAUUGCAUCCAUAUAAGACUUGUACCCCAGAAAAAACAUAUAAUUUAUUUCCCCAAAACCUCUUCCUUCCUUUCUGUUUGUUUUCUUGACCUGAUUGCUGGUUUCGUUUUUUCAGUAUUAUUCGUCUUCAUUCCAAUGGGAGCUCGCUGCUCUAAAUUAGGCUUUUGCUGGUGGCCUUCCAACCUGAAAUCCAACGUCCCUUAUUCCUCUGAUCUUGGUAAUUCUUUAAACUCUCUUAAAUGUAUAAAAAUGUAAUCUUUGUUCCCUUUUUCUGAUGUUUUUUCUUCUGGGGUUUUAGAGAAAUGUGGAGAAAAUGAGAGGAUGAAAUUGCCAGCAUUUAAAGAAUACAGUUUGGACGAGCUGAAGGUGGCGACUUCAGGAUUCUCAGUUGAAAACAUUGUAUCAGAACAUGGAGAGAAAGCUCCCAACGUUGUCUACAAAGGGCAGCUUGAAGAUGACGGCUCUUGGAUUGCUGUCAAACGUUUCAAUAAGUCUGCCUGGCCGGAUUCUCGGCAAUUCCUGGUUGUUAUUACUUCUUUUGAGCAAGUCCCCAGCUACAGUGUUUCACAAAUGUGAUAUUAUCUUAUCUUUGUACGCGCUUUGAUUGUUUGAUAUUGCACUCCUUAGGAGGAGGCGAAGGCAGUAGGGCAGUUGAGGAGUGAGAGGCUGGCCAAUUUGAUAGGGUGUUGUUGUGAUGGAAAUGAGAGGUUGCUGGUGGCCGAAUUCAUGCCUCAUGAAACUCUAUCCAAACACUUAUUUCAUUGUAAGUUUGCUGUUUUUGAAUCUUUAGCAUUAUGCUGUCGAUUUCAAUGCUGAUAAUUGUGUUACUUCUUGUGGCUUAAUGAGAACUUUGUAGCAUUUUGUUGGAAAGUUAUUGCUCCAAGAUUGAAUCUUUGUUGUACCAACUCCGAGUAAUAGUCUCAUAGUAAUGGCCUUUCCAUGUUGAGAAUUUGAUAAGGUUAGAGUCUAUUUUACUUAUUGGUGUCUUUUUGCUAAACUUGUCUGAUGGAGGUGAAGUGUUGGAAGUGAUUAUUUGCCUAAUUGACUUACCUCUAUAAGUCUUCCCUGGCGUUAGAUUGCUUUUAUUUGGAGAUAUAGCUAACUCUGUGAUUCUGUAUGAACUGAUACAGGGGAAACCCAACCGUUGAAAUGGGCAAUGAGGUUGAGAGUUGCUUUGCAUCUGGCGGAAGCAUUAGACUAUUGCAGUAGCAAAGGGCGAGCACUAUACCAUGACCUUAAUGCCUAUAGAAUCUUAUUUGAUCAAGUACUUCCUUUCUUUUCUUCAUUCAUUUGAUGUAGCUUCCAGUCUUGUCAGUUUAUGGAAUUUUUUCAGACUGCCAACAGCUUACUGUGAGUGAUCACACAACAGGAUGCUAACCCCAGGCUUUCUUGCUUUGGCCUGAUGAAGAACAGCAGGGAUGGAAAGAGCUACAGCACAAACUUGGCUUUCACUCCUCCAGAGUAUUUAAGGACAGGUCUUGGAGUAAUUCCCCAAAAGAGCUUUUAGUUUUAGCAAAUAAUGGUCUAUAUUCGAUGCAAAGUAGAUGCUUAACUAAUUUGCUACUUAGACAUCGUCUAGAUCUCAUGUUCGUCUUUACCUUAUUAGCAGAACUUGUGUAUUUAGAUAGUUUGGAAUGUGUCUUUUCCUAGAAAUACAUGUAAUGUCCGAUAUUAGUGGUCAAAUUUCUCCCCUUUCAUUGGCUGCAUGCUUGACAUUUUUCUUUCUUAACAUAAAUAGAACCUUAUAAUGAGCUUUUAGAAAGGUUGCUAAGCACAUAAAUUAACAACUGAGAAGUGAAGUUGCUAAGCACACUAAUGAAAAACGCAGAAGGAGAAAAUUAUUGGGUUCUUCAUAUUCAUAGAUGCUUGAUCUGAUCUCAUCCUUUCAAUUUGACAGGUAGAGUUACAGCUGAGAGUGUAGUUUACAGUUUUGGCACACUAUUGCUUGAUCUCCUCAGCGGCAAACAUAUUCCUCCAAGCCAUGUAAUUGUGCUUUCUAAUUUCUUGAUUCUGAAGUUUGUGAAAAUUGUGUUUUUUGGUAUUGCAAUAAGAAUAGACCAGAAAUAACUCCGCGACAUUAUGCAUCAUCUGAGUCGCUAAAUGAAAAGAUUGUCAGUCUCUCGUUAUAUUCAGGAGAUUACAAAAAGAGUUAUUUUGAUGUAUUCUGUUACUAUAUCCUAUCCCUUAAAUUUCUCUGGAUGAGCGAAUGCUAGAACUAAAUAACAGUUGUUGCCUUUAUAGGCUCUUGACUUGAUUCGUGGGAAGAACAUACAGAUGCUGAUGGACUCUUGUCUGGAGGGUCAUUUCUCAAAUGAUGAUGGGGCAGAGUUAGUACGAAUAGCUUCACGUUGUUUACAGUAUGAACCUCGUGACCGGCCGAAUGCUAAGUCUCUUGUGACCUCUCUUGCUCCACUUCAAAAGGAGAUAGAUGUAGGCCUUAUUCCAUUCUAACUGAAGUCAUUCAGAUAUAAACAAAUUUAGAUGUGGUGCAAAUUUCAAUAUUCUGAUGCUGAUCAUGCUGUUUGAGAUAUCUUUUUAUGCUGAUUUGAUGAAUGUACUAGCAAAAUUUUGCAGGUGCCAUCACAUAUUUUGCUAGGAAUCACUCAUGAAACUUCAUCUCCAGUCCAGACAUCAAAAUUAUCACCUCUUGGCGAGGCUUGCUCACGAGUAGAUCUGACUGCCAUGCAUGAGUUACUGGAGAAGGUUGGAUACAAGGAUGAUGAGGGGGUUGCAAAUGAGGUUAGCUUUUGCACAGCUUACUCUUGUAGCACAUGUACUGCUUGCAUUUUUCCAGCUAAAAAAUUCUCGAGGAACCCCUGCGCCUGGUGGCAGCACCCUUUUUGAUCUAAACCAUGUUCUAAAGUAGUGUUAAAGCUCUAAAAUCUAUUUAUGUUUUGAAAUCAUGCUUCUUUAUCCAUCAUAUUGUCUGUUGAAAAUUAAAGGUAUUUUCUUGUUGGUGUUUUCUUGUAUUAUAUCAUUAUUAUAUAAAAAUUGUUUUUAUUCCGGCAUGCGCUUCUGCACUUCGGGGUGUGGGGGGGGGGUUGUUUCAAUCUUCUGGAGAACCUGUUUAAGAGUGGCAAGUGACAGAAGAGUGUGAUUUUGUUUAACUAAAAAAUCUAUCCACACUGUGCCAUAAUGGAUCAACUUCACCACGUCUGAUAGGAAAUUCUUAACAUCAAGAUGUGCUUAGUCAGAAACUUUCUCCAUCUUUUGGAAAUCUUAAUCCAUAACACUCAAAGGAGUAUUUAGUCAAACUUUGAGAGACACAAUCAAAACUGAUAAGAAUAUAGAGGGCUGCCCAUUGAAAUUACGAUCCCUAUUCCCCAAAAUGCAGAAUCAGAUGGAGUGCUUUUAAUAUGCUGACUCUUUAUUAAGUUCAUAUAAUUUCUAAAAUGUAGCUCGUUUCAUUUGUUGCUCAUAUUUCUCUUAUUCAAGUUUUUUCUCUUUGCAGCUCUCAUUUCAGCUGUGGACUAGCCAAAUACAGGAAACCCUGAACUCUAGAAAGCGUGGCGACAAUGCAUUUCGAGCUAAAGACUUUGCAACUGCCAUUAGUUGUUAUACAGAUGUAAGUAAACCUUCAUAAAAUUGCAUUUAGCUCCAGUCAUAUGGCGCAAUAGGUUAUGAAGAUCUUUCAUGUGCUUUGCUCUGCAGUUCAUCGAGGGCGGGAAUAUGGUAUCCCCAACAGUCCUUGCCCGGCGCUGUUUGUGUUACUUGAUGAACAACAGGCCACAAGAAGCCCUUGCAGAUGCUAUGCAGGCCCAAGUAACAUCCCCUGAUUGGCCUACUGCUUUUUAUCUUCAAGCGGCUGCCCUCUUUAGCCUGGGAAUGAACAGCGACGCACAAGAGACGCUUAAAGAUGGCUCGUCUAUGGAAAACAGAAGAUGAAGUGGAUUUGGCAAAAUGUAUAGAUUAAUUAGGCUUUGCCUUAUAAAUGCUCCUUGUAUCUAGGUUUUGCAAUUUAGAAAUGCCGUUUGGCUGGUUGUUUGCAGCAUAAAAAAGCUGGUUGCAAGACAAGAUUCAUUCAACACCGAGUGACUAUUAUUUUCUGUGUUUACUUGCUGACUGGGAAGAACGUCUUAUGUUUGCCUUUGUUGCCAAGUCAUCAGAUGCAUUAUCUGACUGCAUUGAAAAUUGAUCGAGCAGAAGAAUUCCAGUUGGGGGCUCUGUGCAGUUGUAAAGGGACAUUCUUGUAAAGACGAUCCAAUAAGGCCAGAAGAGCAACAAUUAGUUUUUGGUAGGGGACCUUUUAGAUCUGACCAAACAAUGAGGGCUUUAAGGCCCGGGCAAGAGAUAUGAGAUUAACGGUUCAAUUGCCCGGCCCUGUGAAAUAUUAUCAAAGCUCGAUAUGCCAGAUUUCGGAUCAGCUUUCUUGUUCCCCGGCAUCCAGACAGGUCUUUUCCAUUACGAUAUUCGCAGCCCACCAUCAACUCCCCAACCCAAGACCCCAGACGAACAAGUUACAAUUUUUCAGACUGUCACAUACAUUUUUUAGGACAUAAGAUCGUCAAUAUUUGCUGUUUUUUUGCUGAUUUACCCCCUUAAUUUGAAAAGCAAUUUUAACAUAUUAACUCCGAAUAUAUAUGAUCUAUCAAAAUCGAUAACUAUAAUUCUGCUUUCGUACAUCCAGUUUUAUUUUCCUUUUUUUUUUUCAAAUGAAUAUAAAGCAAAUUUGUUGAGCUUCAUCACCUCGGACACUUACAGGGGUUGGGCUGGCUAAGGAGAGGGUUUCAUCUGAGAUAUGUGUAGUGGAUCAUUAUUCCGCCAGCUUCGAUGACAAUAAGAGAAGUUAGGAGCAAAGAAGUAAAAGAAAUGGUAUUUGAAAUCUCCAUAAUGCCAAAUAAACGUAUUAUGACUAAUUUGAAAUCUCCACUAAAUCAAUUCAGUAACAAGCAAUACUUAGAAACCAAAUGAAAGGCAUUUUUAUUUGGACCAAUGCUUGAAGAAUAAAAAGAUAAAGGUUCAACAACCACGCUUAAUACUCAAUAGGCAUGGUUUCAGGCUUUCAGAAGAGGCUGGUCAGCUUCUAACUGAACUGUAAUGCUACCAAAGAUAGAUGCAUCAGCAUAGGCUCAAAAUGGUAAACCAAAAUUCAGAUUAAAACUACUAGUGAGACAAUUUAAAUGGCCUUAGAUGCAGCAUCAACUAAGCACUAAUUCAUGCUAAAGCAACUGGAUUUUUUUCUGGAACACGAUCUCCACCUUGUUAGCAGGUAGGAGCAUUCUAUAGAAAAUGUGCAGAAAAAUGUUUCAGAGUAAUUUCAGAACAACCAGACUUCACAUUGGAGGCCGACCAGAACCAAGCAGUUGUCCAACCAGAUUUGUCACCUGAACAAGAAGAAUUAAGAGACAAGAUCAUGUAUUUAUUAAUUUGUGUAACAUUUCCUAUAGCGUCCACUACAUACCCCCAGCCCUUUCUUUUUCCUCUCCUUUUUCAAGUUGAAAGUAAUUGUAAAGCAGAAACUACCCCUUUCAUUUGGCUCUUCAACUUGUAGUAGUCACUUCCUAAUUCCUAUUCAUGGCACUGAUAAAUUUCCUAAAGGUCAUCAGAGCACAACCGUAUCUCCUACACCAUGGAACGUACAGGGUGCUCAUCAUUUGGCAAUUUCUACAAUUGCAGCAACAAUAUUUAUUCAAUAUGCUGAAAUGCAAGGAUUGCAUCCGGUAGUCGAGCAGUCAAUUUUUUUAGUGAUGCAUGGCUUCCUCAGUUUACAUAUGAGAGUGAAAUUAAAGUAUCCAGUGUGUUACCUGCCAGUACUUAGAAACACAGCGAUCAAUACAGCUGUUUUCUCCCAUAUUCAGCUCAGAUUCCUUGUACCUUUAGGAGAAACAUGCUCAAAAUUGCAAAUCCAGAGAAGUGUCAUCAUAAUAGGAAAUGAAAAGCAGAAACUUCAACAUGCUAUAUUAGCUAUAUUCAUCAACAAUAGAUAAGAAAUCGAAACAAGGCGAAAAUCGAUACCUUUUCUCAACACACUUGUUAAAACAUGUGUGUGUAAGCCUGGAAGAUCAACAGUAAAAGACGAGUAAAAAUCAGGUUGCAUAUGUACUUGGAAGACCUAAUUUUCUAAUCAAGAACAGUAUCAGCUACUCUAAAAGCAGGCACUUGCCAAUUUAUAACAAUCCUUCUGCUUCUGGAUCUACAGGUUCAACAUAGUAUGAAAGGAAUAAUUAUCUAUUGAAUAAGCAACAGACUAGAAGGUAUCUAAGUCCUUCAUUUUCUUUCUUUUUUCUCAAGAUUUUGAAGUAAAGUUCUAUAUGUAAUAUCACCAAAAAAAUAAAAAGAGCUAAUUUAUAAUACUCAUAUAACCUAACAAAAUUCUCACUUGUGGUAAUCCAUUGAAAACUCUCAGUCAUUUGAGCAAAGAAGAAAGUAAGCAUAUCGUAAAGAAAAGGAGGUGAUUCUUCACUAACAAGAGAAAACUGUACCUAAAAUCAAUUAGCCUUCCGGCUCGUUCUCUUAAGCAGUCAAUAAGUGUAAUAAGCCGCGCUAGGCUCGCUUAUGAUGGAUCCUCCCACUUAAUUAAAUUCGGGAAUAAAUGCAAAAGUUCGAAGUUUGAUCUGCCUAUAUCCCACAUAAGAACAAGAACUGUUUAGGAUUGAGAUGAAGAUAAUACAAUGUGGAAGGCCUUACUUGUUAAAUAAUUCGACCCUGUAUUCCAUCUCCUUCUCUGCCAUGCCCAAAAUCUGCCAAGUCAUACACAUAAAAAGAUGAUAAAGUUAUAAACCAAUUCCUGCUUAGUUUUACUUGAAACAAUCAACGCUGAGCACUGAGUAAAUUCUAUGAUUCCGCAGACUAUUUCUAAAACCAAUAUCUCAAAAUUCACGACUAAUUAGCCAAAAAAAAAAAAAAAAAACCAAAAUCAUCAGCAUGAGCAGAUAUCGAGGUCAAUAUAAUCAGGAAGGUAAGAUACCAGUUCCUUGUCGAUUCCUGGAGGAGGAGGAGGAGCACUAUUUGCAGCCAUUGUUCACUAAUUUCUGGAGAAAAGGAAAAAGACUUGAAACUUUAAUUUAUAUACAAACAAAAAGGAAAAAAACGAAGAAGAAGAAGAUGGAGAUAAGACUAGGCUCAGAAAAGCUCAGAUGGAGGAAAGAGGCUCACAAAUCGGAGGCCAAAUAAAGUCCUGAUGCGGAACAACGAAGAAUUGCUUGUCAAGUCGGAUAUUUUGAGGUUUAGGGUUUAAGGAGCAGAGACUGGUCUUGAACCCUGCAGACCCUGAAAUCUUUAAAAAAUCAAAAAAUAAAAUAAAAUACAAAGAAAAGGGCAUGUAGACCCUGAUUUUACUGUAGAGUACCUACUAUACGAUGUAUGUAUGUAUAUCAUGUACCAGAUCGUCCGGUUAAGUUUCUUUUUUUCUUCCAUUUUUAACCUUAAACAAAUAACAAUAAACGGUUUUUUCUUUUUCUUUUGGGUCCCGUCAGGCCUUAACAAGGUUUUUUUUUUUUUUGAAAAAUACUUUUUAUUUGAGCAAUUUCAAAUACUUGUACUCUUCUAAAUGCACAUGUAUACUAUAUAUUAUACAAAUACUCACAUUUGUCGCAGAGAAAUGAGUUUGCUUGAUGUCAGUAAUCCAAUUUUAGAAUCUCACCAACUUUUAUUGAUAAUAAUAGUACGAUACAAAGUGCACAACAACACAACGGAUGUAAAUAUUAACCUAUAACUUGUACCGUUAGUAUUAAAACUUGUAUAAUGUGUUGUUUCAAAAUAGAGGAAUAUGGAUUUAACCCUUUUAAUACAUACAUAUAUAUAUGUAAAGAGACCAAAAAUAUUUUAUUUGAUGCAUAAAUAAAUGAAUCAAACUUUUUAAGAAUGUAAUUUUUUUUAUUUAAUUGCUUUGAGUAAUUUUUUAAGCUUGUUUGGAACUUAAACAGGCCUCUUUUUUUUUUCUGUAAUAAAUAUGUUGUAAUCGCUUUUAUAUAUUGAUUGAAAAUUCAACUAAAGAAAAACACGGCAUCUGAAAAGGAAAAAAAGUAAGAUGGGAGGGUACCGUACGUAGCACCACCAGGGUCGGUCAUCAGUCAUCAGUCACAUAUAAUCAACACAUCAAAUCAUCUCAUCUCCCGCAGCAUACAAAAUGAUAAUCUAACAAUUAGCAAGAAAUGGUACAGAGUCCUCGGCAUAAUUUACACACUAUAAAUAAAAUCCCAGUGAUUGUUGCAAACUCUACUGCCUAUUCCUAUUACACACACAUGCGAAGAUCUCCUUGUGCUCUCUGAUCCAGAUGCUGCUGCUCUUCCGGACUCAUGGCAGUAUUUUAAAGUGAAAAAGCCACGAGAUUAUAAAGGCAAAAACCAUGCACCCAAGCAGAAAAUUCAUGACACGACGGCCAUGGCAGUAACCUCGGGUCUCGGAGAAGACCACAGGUGCUGUUGAUGCUGCAGUAGCUAUACCAGUGCCACUGUUCACCUCGGUUGCUUGUUCUCCAGCAAUGUUCAUUGCAGGGGCGCCGCAAAUUUCACAAGUUCUGGAUAAACAUUUACACGAGGCACAGGCAGUCAGUCCACAUGAUACACCAGAAGCAACUGAAAUAAGGCUUUUCUAAAUGGUCAAAAUUCUGCAUUUUAUACGUUCUGGUCUCCGUAUAUUUCCCAAAAAAAAAAAAAAAAAAAGAGAGUUGGAAACACAAAAGCAAAGAAGUUUCUGGCCUACAAAGUUUGACCAUUCUCUGUACCAUCUUGAUGCUUUUCUCAAGAAAGUUCAUAAAUAACUGCUAUCAGCUAUGUCCGCUCGCCGGCGCAUGGCCAGAGUUGAAAUGUCGCCAGAAUCAUCUGCUUGAAAUGUCGCCAAAUUCAUCUGCUUAAUCUCUUUAAAGUUUACCAAAAUCAUUUCCAGCAACUACCUUGCCAACAUAAAUACAAAGACGAUGACAGAAUCCAUUUGUUUGGUAUGGGAUUUGCUUGCAUGGACCUAAAGGUCUGGUAAGAUAAAAGGGAAAUGCAACAUAAAUUCUAAAGCUAAUUUCCCUUCACCAUGUGGUCAAAGCUCCUUGCUUGUUCCAGUGAUCAGGAUAUUGACAGAGCACUUGUUCUGGGCGAGGGAUAUGGAGGGAGAUUGGGGGAGAGGGAGGAAUUUGAGGGAGGUUGAUUUGCCUUGGUCGAGGGGUCUGAGAAGCAGAGGAAUAGUGGUUGGUACUCGAUUGGGAUGGCAAGAGAUUCACAUUCAAAAGGAGUCGUCAACCGGCAUUCACAUAAAUGUUCAACUGCCCAUAUUUAUACUUGCGGCAAAAGAGUGGCUUGAACUUUUAAUUCUUAAUAAUCAGAAUUAUCUUCCUAUGAACUUUUCAUCUCCUACACACCAAAAGAGAGUAAGCAGUACUAAAAAUUUGACCAACAACUGUUUAUUCUUUGUUCCUGAAUAGACAAGAAGGUUGACUGUAGAUUGUCAGACAAGCUCUAUAGCAGUAUUUCGUGAUUCAUAGAGGGAACAAGCAUCAAAAAGCAAAUUAGAGGAAUGCUACCCAGGCCAUCAGAUGAUCUCCAAAAACCAAAUAAUCUGAUCAUGCACAUAAACAACCACAAGAUCAAAUGAAAUAAAGCUGGUCAAAAAAGAAGGCUUACUGGUAAAGGGAAAAGUUUGAAGUUAUAUGUAGCAGCAUCUAUCUAUCUAAAAGAAAAGAGAAUUGAUAAAUCAUAAUGCAUAUCACCCAAUCUUCGAGAACAAAAGGAAACAUACAAGCAAUCAGGUGACAAAGUGCGUAAAAGCAUAUCGUAAACAGUCAUGGAUCCCAGGUACACUAGCCCCACCUAACAUCCAUGAUAUCACCAAAAGUUAGGUGAAAUGCUGUCUAACAACUGUGUUAUAUACACAAAAUAGGAGCUAAAGUAUGUGUCGAUCAAUAAUUGGCUGCUAUACUGAAAUGGACACAUUUUUCAAAUUUAAAUUGAUAUGUCAGCAAGAUGGCAAAAGAAUAUGGACAAUGACAAACACCAAUAAAUCCAACGAGGAGCAACAAUAAUGCAAGUAACACACGAUUGAUGUUUAAGAUGGAAAGAAUCGGAAGCUCGUAGCAUUGGUCCUGAUAAACCCCAAUUUAGUGCUUCUUCUCCGAUGUUUAAGAUGGAAAGAAUCCAGUAAAAAUUUCAUUUUCUGGAGCUACUUAUAUCCACAAUCAGCCAUCUGAAAUAAUGAUGUGCAUCAAUAUGAUAAAGGAUUAUGUACUCAUUACUCUACGAAGCUUGUAGAGAAUGGUGAAAUUUCCCUGCUUCAAACCAGGUAAUUUCCAUUCUUUUGGCAAUCUUGGUAUUGAAGUCAAGCAUUUUUACAUAUCCAGGAGGAGACAUAAAGCUUUCCCUACCUAUUUAACUUGCCAUUUCAGUUAUAGACCAACAACACAUUUUGAACCCUAAAUAUCAAACUAACAGGAUUCUUCUUUAUUCCAACAAAAGUAAAGAAACAGAAAAUGUGGGGCCCCCAUCAACACAUUCUAGAGUACAUUCUUCAACCACAGAUCUCACGAGACACAUUUUUUCUGCAGGCAUUAUUCAGAGAUAACCGUAGAAACAUAAAAGAGUCAUAUGGCAUAUAAAAGGUAAGCAAAAUCGAAGUAGCAAGCAUCUUAGACAUUUAACAAGAAUGAAUAUCUAAACAAAAAUGAAAAGCAUUCAUUGGCACUAGAAGCAGAACAACACUAUCAACAAAAGCAAAAUUCCCAGAAUGUGAGUUCGGGGAAAUAGAUCUCUUACAAAGAAACUUCUUACCGAAUUCCCUAAUUUUAAGGCACUUGCUAACAAAAAUCACGCAAAUUGCCAAAAACAGACUUACUCGGAGAAUUCGGGCAAGCACCAAACCUUGGCUUAAGCAGGAUAAGCAGGUCUCAAGUUACAAACUUUACUCAGCAAAAUUCAUUUCUCCAUCAAAACAGAGCCAAAAAUUAACUAACCAAAAUACACCAGGCAAAAUUACACUAUUAAUGAAAAAGAGAUGAACAAAAGUCACAUACCUAAGCAAUUCCUGUAAAAAGAUCAGAUUUUUAAAGAUAAGAAAUAAAGCAAAAUUUAAAGAUCAGAUUUUGAUACUUACGUAUUGCCCUUCAUCUUGAACCAAGUCUCAGCACAUUGCUUAUGGGCUGAACCCAAAUCCCCUUUACAACUGCAUCCCAAUUCAAUAAUAUUACUCUGGUCACCGCCGCCGGCAUUACCACUCCUGGCAACACUGAAUUUCAGAUGACAAAUCCUACACUCUCUUUUCUGGGCUCUAUUACUAUGAACUUUGAGCUCCAAUUCACCACCCUCCAAAUCCACCAUCCCUUCUUCCUCUUCAUCGGAAACUGUAGAGGACCCUCUUCGGCUGCUAUGCCUUUUCGGCACCGAAAUACCCUCCGACUCUGUCGAGAACCGGCAUUCCUCGUACGACCCACCAAGCUGCGAAUGCAACGAACGGCUGUCGUCCUCGGUGUCGGAGAAGCGAAAGCUCCCGUCAGUUGUCGUCUCGCUGCUGGCAGCUACGGAUGGCCUCGGCCUCCGUCGGCGGCGGCGUCGGCGGUGGCGGCGGAGACUAGUGCUACUACCAGCAGCAGCAGCAGCGGAAUUGUCGGCCGAUUCUAUGUCAGCUGGGCAUGUGGUGGCGCUAAUAGCCGACAUUUUACAGAACCCAGAAGUAAAAAAUCAGUGUGGUUGGAAAUAUUUUGGUUAUUUUAUUUUAUUUUUUGGGUUCAAGUUUGGAAGAGCAUGGGGGGCAGGGGGCUGGAUUUAACAAUGCUCACCAUGAGUGUGUGUUUGUUUGAGUGAAGAAUGAGGGCGGAGGAAUUUCCCUCUCUCUCAGGACAUAGCAGUAUAUAUGGAGUGUAACGUAUGCAAGGUAGUAUGAGGAUUGUGAAAAAUAAGAGACAAGGGAAAUGGAGUGUGACCGGGGGUGGGGGCUAGAGAGGUUGGUGGGGCUGGCGAGAGACAGGGGCGUCGUGUCAGCUUGGAGAGGAGGGAGGGCGGAGUGCUGAGCUGAUGAAAGUGAAAUGAAACGCAAACAUUUCUUGCUCUGCUACUGUGUGUGUGUGACAGUGAGCGAGUGAAUAAUACUUGUCAAGUAAUUUGUGAUGACUGGUUUUGGAUAAGUAGCAAUUAGUAAUGAAUAAUGACUGUAUGUGACUGACUAUCUCCGCUCAUUCCUUCCUUCAGUUCCUUGUCCUUUGGCUUUGGAGCAGCAAGGGGAUAAUACGUUGCGUUGAU
rnacentral:lncRNA from 1 species